rnacentral:lncRNA from 1 species
AUCUCAAACCUACGAGUUUUCAUUAAAGGGAGGGCUCUAUGUCCUUGCAUGUGGACCAGGACAAGGUGAUGUAAUUUGUCUAUAAAUGAUGAAACAGUCGAGUUGUGGGAAAUAUGUAGAUCGAUUGACAUGAAACCUUUUUAUCUUGUCCAAACAGUCAUCAAAUUCUAAUAUGUUGAAAAGCUGUGUGGAGAAUGGAUAUAAUUAGAUGACUAGAUUUCUUCAUAAGUAAUCCAUUUACGUACCUUAGUUAGUGGGGUGUAUAUUGUUUUUCUGCUUCUUCAUAAUCCCAAAUGAUCGUAUAACUAAUAUGGUCAUUGUUUGUACCAUACUUGACCAAUCCCGAAACUACUGAUCACGGGUCAACAUUAUACCGUCAAGGACCCAGAAGAGUUUCCCUCCAACCAGGAGGCCAAUCACAGUGCGACACGUGUCGACAUCAGAAGUCAAUCACAGCGCGACAUGUGUCAACAUCAGAAGCUAAAUGAAACUAGAAACUUUCUUCUAUAAAUAGAGAUCAUUCUCUCACAAUAUUCCUAAUGUCAUUUGUACUAAAUCAUUCACUUGUACUCACUAAAGGAGAGCUUGAACCUAUGUACUUGUGUAAACCCUACACAAUUAAUGAGAAUCUCCUCUACUCCGUGGAUAUAGUCAAUCUGGGUGAACCAUGUACAUAUUGUGUUUGCUUCCCUGUCUCUAUCCAUUUACAUACUUAUCCACACUAGUGACCGGAACAAUCUAGCGAAUGUCACAAACUUAACACUUUGUUAUACCAAAGUCCUCAUUGAUUUUGUGCAUCAACAGUUAUGAUAAGCCAAUGUUCUUUGAUCACAAACUGUUGAGAUGUGAGUGAUUAUGUGUUGACUGGUAGCCAACAAAAUACACUAAGAUAUUAUGAUACAUUUAUCGACAAUAUAGGUACUCUUUAUCAACAAAAUAUGACAUCCUGCACUAUAUGUACAAGACUAACCAUGACUCAUAAAUCCUAAAGCUACAAAGCAAGGCGCACCUCUUCAUGUGGAAACUUGGCAUACCAAUUCAUCCAAAUUACAAUAUGUAGUAUCGUUGAGUCUAUAUGUUGUAAUGUAAGUGAAUUGGUGAUAUAACGUGAUAUUAUUACUGUCAUACUAAAUUUUAUUAACAAAAAUUAAGAAUAUUGUUUUGUCCAAUCAUAACUAUUUUUGUUGACGUUUGCAUGGCACAACCAAAAUCGUAUGUCACGUUGCACUUAUUCUCUAAAGCAAACCUAACUCACUUUAAACUCCUACUGCACUCUCCACGUAUAUUUCAAGUACUUUUUAAGAAGUUAUUUGUAUCAUAUAGAAAACCUUACUCAGAUCGCUACAAUUAGAAGAAAUUAUUAGGUAGUAUAUAUAGGGGUGUGAUAUCCACACAUCUUUUUUUACUUCUCACACACCCUUCUAAUUUUUGGCCGUCGGAUCGGAUAAAAUGAAGAAGAUCAACGAACAUAAAUUAACAAGGGGUGUGUGAGAAGUAAAAAAGGGUGUGUGGAUAGCACUAUCCACACAUCCCUUUUUACCACACAUCCUUUUUUACUUCUCACACACCCUUUGAUAAUUUAUGUCCGUUGAUCUUCUUCAAUUCAUCCGAUCCAACUGUCGAAAAUUAAAAAAGUGUGUAAAAAGUAAAAUGGGAUGUGUGGAUAUCACACCCCUAUAUAUAUUUAUUUGAUGGUCUGAUGGAUGAUGGAUCUCUGUUCGCAAGAGUAAUAAUUCUUCACAAGUUCGCAUCAGAAACAUUGUUAUCAUGUCCUUUAUCUAGUUGUCAUCAUCAUAAGUUAAGGAAAUACCAAAGUAUAUUAGCUUUAGAUACGUUUAACAAAACUAUUCUCUUUUUGGUUUAUAUAUAACCGCCCAACAGUACGUAUUAUUAUCUUCGAAUAUCAUGUGUACGCGUACAUUAGAAAAAUAAAAAGUAAAACAAUUGUUUCUCACAACGGAAAUUCCUAUUGAGUAGUUCGAUAUGUUUGCUCGUAUUAGCAAUAUUAUUUGUUAUCUGGAAAUAGUUGAUGAACCAUUAAGUUCAAUUGAAAAAAAAAAAGUAGGAAGAAUUAAUAGUGGGUUUUACAAAUAUGUUUUCAAUUAAUCAUGAACAGAAACUCAACCAGUAAAAGAAGGAAUGAGUAGAGGAGACUGAUUGUGCCAAAUGAUCCUCCUACUCCAAGCUGCACUGGUUUGUGUGCGUACUCUUAUGAAUUGCAGACUUGCAGAGAGUUGUCCAGCUGCUCUGGCGUAUAUACGUACUUCAAGCUUCACUUACACCAUGUAUGGUAGAGAAUCCCACCACAAAGAAAGAUCACACAACACAAAAAAGGGAUCAUCAAUCAUGAUUGCUUAGAUGAUAGAGUGCCGUGUACAUCAUAAGAUAUAGUUUUCUUUUCGUCCUUUGUGCGGUUACAAACUUACGAGUUUUCGUACUCGAAUUUCAUGUAUUUAUUAAAUUUUCAAGACAAAAGUAGAGCCUUGUACACUGAAUUUGCAAUUAACAAGUCAUUAAGGUGAUCUUUAGACAUGCAGAGGUAAACUUAGCGUCGAAUUUAAGCUAUGUUUUAGCUCUUCAAAAAUUAGAUUUUGUAAAGAAUAGUUCAUGUCGUCUUCAUCUCCAACAUUGGAUGGCUAUAUUUCAAACCCCUUAAUAUAUGUUAUAUUGUAGUGCUAAGUAAAAAUUAUGAUACAACACAUUAUAGAAAUAUAAAUCAAUUUUAAGGAAAUAUGAGGGAGGCUUGUAGGCUAUGACUCACUAAUCAUGAUGCGGGAGCCAAGGCUUUAAAAAAUUAAAAAAAAAUUGAAAACUUCUCGUUGGCAUUGGAAAUUCAAAUAAUAAAGGCAUUGUAAUUUAUUUUAAUGACAUAGGAACUUGUUAAGUCAUUUCUAGAGAGUUUUUUAGGAAGUUGUGGUCUAUUUAUGCUUCUUUAUCUUUAGUUCCUUUAAAUAUUGAUGUAUUAGAAGCCAUUGCUAGACUUGAAUGAAUUAAAAUAUAUUUUGCUUUGUGCAAUUGAAGUGAGUGAUUUCUCCUUCCCCAAUCAAGCAUUUGGCUUGGUCAUCCAUGAUUAACGACGUGAGAUAGCUCCGUUGCCCCUGGUUGAGCGAAUCCCAGGUUAUCUAUUCCCUUCUCCUCGAUACCCUUGGUUCUGUCCUGCAUCAAAUGGCAUUAGAGCAGGUUUUCCGCUGCAGUUGAAAAUCAUGGCUAUGAUUAUCAAUCCGUUUCAAGAUCACAUCGUUGAAGAGAUUAGUUUCAUCGAUUGGAAUUCACCACCAAUUUAUGAUGAAUACGUUGAUGAAGACGAAGUCAAAAAUCAUUUUGUGAAUGAAGUUAAUGACAUCGAGCCUUCCAUGCAUCAAAUGGUAAUCUGUUACUGCUAUUCAUCUUUUGGAUGCUACAAGGAUCUUCAAAGUACUCCAAGCAUGAUGCAAAUGGAGAUGCUUCAGACCUACAAGGAAUGGAUGAUGGCAAGGUGCUACUGAUGUCCCAAAUGAAUUUUGAAAAGAAUUUCAGACAGUCUACAAUUUUUGUGACUUCAACAUGGAUGGAACAAGGCGAUGUCCCUCCUUCCUCAAGCCCAGCAAUGAUGCUUAAAGAGGCCACUCAUGUGAUAAGUUGCGGUUAUGAAGACAAAACUGAAUGGGGUUUAAAGAUAGGUUGGAUUUACAAAUUUAUCAUAGAGAGCAUUCUAAGGGGUUUCAAGAUGCAUUCUAGUGUGGUUGGAGGUCAUUUUCAAUCAAAAAGAAGGAACCAGGGCCUACAACGUUUGAAAGAAUGGGGAAAUGGUAUUUUCAUGAAUAUUUUGUGGCUUGGAACACUUUGAUCGCCGUGAACUUCAUUUUACUAUUGUGGUUGUUGUGGAAGAAUCUGCAAGGUCAUCCCAAAGAUCGAGGAAGACCAAAUGGAACUUGAGGACGAGUUUUCUUCGAGAAUGGGAGAAUGAUGCGGGAGCCAAGGCUUAAAAAAACAAAAAAAUAAACACAAAUUGAAAACUUCUCGUUGGCAUCGGAAAUUCAAAUAAUAAAGGCAUUGUAAUUUAUUUUAAUGACAUAGGAACUUGUUAAGUCAUUUUUAGAGAGUUUUUUAGGAAGUUGUGGUCUAUUUAUACUUCUUUAUCUUUAGUUCCUUUAAAUAUUGAUGUAUUAGAAGCCAUUGCUAGACUUGAAUGAAUUAAAAUAUAUUUUGCUUUGUGCAAUUGAAUUGAGUGAUUUCUCCUGCCCCAAUUAAGCAUUUGGCUUGGUCGUAUGAGUGAAUCCACGAUUAGCGACGUGAGCUAGCUUCGUUGCCCCUAGUUGACGAAUCUCAGGUUAUCUAUUCCCCUCUCCUCGAUACCCAUGGUUCUGUCCUGUAUCAAAUCAAGUGCGAGAUUUCUCCUCUAGAUCAUUGAUUAAGGAGUUCAUAUUUCUCUGAGCUUAUCAUUUAUAAGAAAGAGAUGUUGUAACAAAGUAUCCUAAAAUGAAAUCCUUGGUACCGAAAUGAUUAGUCACUUCUUCAUUCAGUACAGUUUUUUUUUCUUUUCUUUUUUUUUUUUUGCUUCAAAAGGGAUCAUGGCUUCGCCACGGUAAUCUACCUUUUUGAAGGCCAGAAAGACUCACAAAGGCAUUUCAGCCUCUCUGGCCCAUCGUGCUAUUCACAAGUGCAAGGAAUUGAACCCAAGAGAUACCGUGUGAAAUACAUAUCUUAAAUUUAUCCCCAACCACUAGACCACCCUGUGGUGGUAUCAUUCAGUAUAGUUAAUUUGAUAUUUAAUUGAUAUUUCCAACUCAUUUAGUUAUAUACUUUAGUUUAGAUUAAAUUUCCAAACCACGUAGUUCUUUUCCCAAUUGACUUGAUCUGGUCACGGAUUAGUAAUAGAACUUUGAAAUUAUUGAUAAUUAUGUGACAGAGAAAAUCCUUAAAACAGCCCGCCAGAAGAUAAGUGCUAGUUAAUAGAGGUAGGAGCAAACAUUCAUGAAAUGAAAUGUCAGGUUCAUCAGUCUUCUCCCCCACUAUAACUAAUUGAGCUGUAUGUUGAUUAAUUAAGAAGAAUCAAGUAGUUAGGCCCUUCCAUCAUCUUCACCUACUACUAUAAGUUCCAACAAUUAUAAUACUAAUCUAAUUGGGCCAACAGAAAAUUAAUGUAACACCUCAUUCACAACGUACCAUAACUAAUUUAAUGUGAUAUUCUGCAUCCAAUAGGAAGUUUUCAAAUUGAAAUCCAACUUGCUUUAUAUGUAUAGGGUGAAAACGUCAAACAUGUUUGGUGGGUUUUAAGUCAGAUUUGGGUAUUUUAAGUUGGGUUAGAAGGUUUAUUAGUUUUCAGCCAUUAGAUUAAUGCAACGGGCGCGUAGAGUGGUUAGUUUUCUAUUACAUUUUUAACUAGUUAGCGCUUGAACACUCUUGCAUAAUACGUAACAAAUAUAAUGUUUGGUUCAAUAUCGAGGUUGAGGAUGAGAAUUAUAAAUUUUCCAGUUUGAGAUAUAUGGUAUUCGAAUUAAAAGUUUUCUAUCAGAAUUAAAACCAGAUCAAGGAAACAAGAAUAUAGUUGAUAGCCAACUAGGUUAAGUUGGGCAGUUUUGUGUCUUAGAAGAAACGCCGACUCUCGUUCACAUCCAUAUUGAGUUAAGAAAUUAAAGUACAAAAUGCCUAUGAGUCGAACAAAGGAACGUUGAUCUUGGGAAAUUUACAACAGGACGAGAACCUGAAAUCAUCAUUUCAAAUGUGUAGGUUGUUAUAUAUGUGCAUCACAUGACCUCUAUGAUAGCAGUGUUUAUCUAGGAUGCGUGAGAGUGUGCAACGGGCUAGGGCAGCUUGACCAUGCCCAGUUUAAUGUCAACCUAGCACAACACAUCAUGAUUUUUUGAGGACUAGGGCAAGCAUGGGACACGCCAUGGCGUGAGACACGAUUUUCGUUGCACGUCUCUGACGCGGGCACGAGCUCAUUGUGAGCUGGACUCGUGCGAAACCCUACCUACCUCCAAACUACAUGCAACUAAAACGUAGUUUGAAUUAUAUGAUAUCCAAAAUAUCAGAUUUAUAGGUUUACCCUCCCUAUAGCUGGAUGACAUCCCGACUACGGGAGAGGCAAGAAUUCAUUCCAGGGAUUUCAAGUAAUUGACCGUGUCAAGGAAGAGUUGGAGAAUAUUUGCCCCGGUGUAGUGUCAUGUGUGGACAUUCUCGUGGUGGCUGCGAUAGACGCCGUUCUGAUAUUCACUCUUAAAAUAAUUAGUUCUCCGCUUCAACUUUAUUUUACUUUACUUUCCACACACCAUUUCUGGCUUCGUCACUGUUUGGACCUGAUUUUACACAUCGGCCUAAGCAAUCGAGGCCGUUGAGUAAGCAUGGUUCUCAACCGUUGGAUAAGAAAGUUUAGAUAUUAUUGUUAAGAGAUAAUAUUAUGAUUUUUAAUCAUAAUAAUUAUUUUUUUUAUAAGUUAUCCCGGUUUUUUAUGCAAAAUAAAUGGGAUGGAGGCAAGUAGAGUUGUGAUGGGGACGUGAGCUUUGAAUCAUGUUGGUUUGUUUUGCUGGACAUGCAUGCAUGGGAUGUAAAGAUAAUGAAGUGAUAGGGGAUAAAUCCAAACAUGCCAAAACGUGUAAUUUGCAAAAGAAUUGUGCAAUAUGGAGAUUCUAUCCUAAUGCAUGGUUUUUUGGGUUUGGUUUUGUGCACGUGGCAUGCGACAAUGGAGAUGAUGGUUUUGCAUGGUGAUGGCAAUAUGGGUUUAAAGGUUUCUCAUGUUUUUUUAAUAAGAAGCCUAGGUGGGUUAGAUCUCUAGUGAGAUGUGAUAAAGCCUAGGUAGGCUUUAUUUAUCUGAAGGAUAUGUGCGGCGUAUUUGAUACGGGAUCAGGGUCAAUUCCACAAAAUAGAGUUGCAGUUGGACUCUACAAAAUUAUUUGGCCGCGUCACACAACAUUUGCUCCUAUAAAUACAGAGAUAGUGGCAACGGAAGAAAGACCCCUGCAAAUCAAUACAAAAUUGCCCUGCGCAAAUUCUCACAACUUGUGAUUUUUCUUUUUCCUUUUUCGCUGACACAUCUUCCGUUGGCGUCAACAGCACUGUGGAAGCAACCGGUGAUAUCUUAAGUCGGCAUAGAUAGCUCUGUCACCGUAGAAUCAAUCGGUCUCGCAGUAUCUUCCGUUGGCAUCAACAGCACUGCGGCGAGAACGGUUAAUUACCUAUCCAAGUCUCGGUCGAGAAGGGUUUCUGAACCCUUAUUGGUCGAUGUCAUCUCAUCAGCCUUCUCGGCGAAGUGAGGUGUUACACGUUAUUACGUUCGGCAUAUUGAAAGCCGAAUUUGAUAUUGAACUUCGUAAGAAUAGUAACCUUGUCUUCAGGUUCGAGAGCCCAAGAGGCCGAGACGUGUUCCUUUCUCGGCCGCAAUCGCAAGACGCAGAAGUCAGCCGCGCACCCAACGCAACAUCAACAAAUUUACUCCUUGGCCGAGCUCGGCCGACGAGUUGGCACGCCCUGCAUUCACCGAAGGACGUAGUUAGCUCAUUAAUUAUUCGGCCUGCACGCCACGUAGGCUUUGUAGUUUUUAGGGUCAACAUUUUGGCACGCCCAGUGGGACCCAGUGCUAAACUACGAAGUUCACAUGAUCUAUCUCGAUCCGGCUUCAAGGGAUGAGUGUUAUCGCCUAUUAAAGGAGCAAAAACAACUUCUCGAAAGUUUGAGAAGAAUUUCUGAAAGGCAAAAGGCCGAGGGGCAAAUCUCCACUCCGGCCACAACCAAUAUUCGGCCUAAGAAAAGUGAUAAUUUGGCCGAAGAACAAAGGCCACUUGUUGUUUCGGUAGAGACUGAAAAUAUAGUAGGCCUAGAAGAAAAAAUUCAAGUCCCUAAGCUAUAUACAAAAAUUGACUUGGAAAAAGAUUCGUCAAAAGAAUGCUCUAGUGACGAACGAGGCCGAAAUAUUGGCCUAGCCCGAGAAACUACGCCAAUUGAUAUGAUUAUUGGCAAUAAAGCCGAUAUGGAGAAAUCCUGUUCGGCUAAGUUAUUUGAAUUAAAAGCCGAAAUUAUGCUUGGGGGGCUGUUUGGACUCAAAUUUACACCAUCGGCCCAUGUAAUCAAGGCCGUUGAGUGAGCAUAGUUCUCGACCGUCAGAUGGAAAAGUGAAGAUAUUUUUGUUAAAGGAUAAUAUUAUGAUUUUUUAUCAUAAUAAUUAUUUUUUAAUGAUGAAUUAUCUUGAUUUUUUCCUGGUACAAGAUGGAUGAGAUGUAAAUGUAGUUCAAUUUGAUUUGGGAUUCUUGGAGUUAAGACGCGUGGUGGAUUGGGAGCAUCAGAGCACGUUAUUAAGAGUCCUAAUACACUACUGCAUUGUUGGCAAAUGGAAAUUGGCAGAGAUAUUAAUGCUUGCAUAAAGAUGAAGAUGUUAAAUUGGAGAUGGAUAGCCACGUGUGAGUGGAUUUGGUGGAGCCAUGCAUGCAUAUCAUUAUUUCAAGUCAAGAUGCUUAUCGGCACUAAUUGGUAUAUGCUAAUAUGCUAUUAAUUAGCAAGAGGUGGUUGCAUGUUGGUAAGUGAUAACAAUCUUUUUGCAUGAGAUUGUUAUGAAUGAGGACUUUGAUGUUGGCGGCAGCUUUACAACACGAGCCGUCAGGAUGAGGAUGAUACUUAUAAAUACAGAGUCGCAAACAACGGGUAGGACCCCUGCAAAUCAAUACAAAAUUGCCCUGCGCAAAUUCUCACAACUUGUGAUUUUUCUUUUUUCCUUUUUUCGCUGACACAUCUUCCGUUGGCAUCAACAGCACUGUGGAAGCAACCGGUGAUAUCUUAAGUCGGCAUAGAUAGCUCUGUCACCGUAGAAUCAGUCGGUCUCGCAGUAUCUUCCGUUGGCAUCAACAGCACUGCGGCGAGAACGAUUGAUUAUCUAUCCAAGUCUCGAUCGAGAAGGAUUUCUGAAUCCUUGUUGGUCGAGGUCAUCUCAUCAGCCUUCUCGGCGAAGUGAGGUGUUACAAGUGACUACAUUCGGCACGUUGAAAGCCGAAUUUGAUAUUGAGCUUCGUAAAAAUGGUAACCUUGUCUUCAGGUUCGAGAGCCCAAGAGGCCGAGACGUGUUCCUUUCUCGGCCGCAAUCGCAAGACGCAGAAGUCAGUAGCGCGACCCAACGCAACAUCAACAAAUUUACUCCUCGGCCGAGCGCGGCCGACGAGUUGGCACGCCCUGCAUUCACCGAAGGACGUAGUUAGCUCAUUAAUUACUCGGCCUGCGCGCCACGUAGGCUUGGUAGUUUCUAGGGUCAACAUUUUGGCACGCCCAGUGGGACCCAGUGCUAAUACUACGAAGUUCAUAUGUUAUAUCAAGAUUCCAAUCUGGCUCAACGUAGCUGAUUGUACGAGCUCCUGGAGGAAUUGAAAAAACAUAAUGAGGAAUGCAAAAAAUCUUUGGAAGCAGAAAAAGUUCUUCGUGGCCAUAAAGAGAUGCAAAAGUCAUUCGCUUGCAUGGUGAAAAUAAAAGCUCCUGUUACCCUGCAUGGGUAAAUGAAGACAGGGCUCGAUUUAAUGCCUGGCUAGAUGAAGAACGUUUUCCUUACGUUUCUGAUUACAGAUCAAUUCCAUUUGAAAAAUGGUUAGGUCCAAAGGCCGGGGGGCAAUUUUUCGCUCCGGCCACAAUCAAAAUUCGGCCUCAAAAAAUUGUUAAGGCGGCCGAAGAAAUACUUAGGCCACCUGUUGUUUCGGUCGAGAUUCAAAGUGUGGUAGGCCUAGACGAAAAAGUUGAAGUUUCUGAGCUAAAAAUCGACUCAGAAAAUGAUUCGUCAGAAGAGUGCUCCAAUGACGAACAAGACCAAUACACGACUUCAAACCAUAAAAUCACAUCGAUUGAUAUGGUAAUUGAAGACAUAGGUCUAGCCGAAAAAAUCACGCCAAUUGAUCUGAUUAUUGGUGAUAAAGCCGAUAUGGAGAAAUCCCGUUCGGCUAAGUUGCUCGAGUUAAAAGCCGAAAUUGGUGAAAUAAUUAUGCCCAGGGGGCAUAAUACUUGUUCCACACAUUCGGCGGCUGAAAAUGCAAAAUAUUUUGCCGAGUCAAAAAUAUUUGGGAAAAAUUCUUUAUUCGGCCUAGAGCGAAAUCAAUUUGAAAAUUUUGAUGCAAAAAGAUCUUGGCUUGGAAUAAAACAUCGUUGGUCUCCUCCUGAUUAUGGUUCGGCCACUUUUAUUUUCGUUUGCUAAAAUAUUAAAUAAAUUAUUUUCUUAACUAUUCGGCUUUUUAGGCCGAUGCAUAAACAUAAAAAGGGGGUAGUAUUGUUUUGACCGAUUUGUGUUCGGAUUUAAGAUUUAUUCGGCAUAUAACAUAUCAUGCAGAAAUUAAUCAUGGCAUGAACUGUUCUAGCACGAAGUGUUACAAUUUGGCGUCAAAGCAGGAGUUGAAUCAUGGCAUCUGCAAUUAGAGUCUCGGCCAAAAGAGUGGUUGCCGAGCCAUUCAAUGCACCUGGGAUUGGUUUGGCCGAAUAUAUAUAUAUAAGAGUUUAGCCGAACUCUCGACUACCUUACAAAAGCCUCGGCCAAAGCUGCAUAUAUAUGAUUCGGCCAAAACUGUAUAUAUAUAUAUAUAUAUAUAUAGGAAUUGCUUAAGGGGAGGGAUCCCCAUUUUUUCAAAAAAAUGGGGACACACUCCCCACCGUUGGAUUUGAAUUAAAUGAAAUCCUGUGGUUGAGAUUCUAUGGCCUGUGUUUUAAUCUCAACCACACAAUUUCAUUAAAGUCAAUCUAACGGUGGGGAGCGUGUCCCCAUUUUUUUUGAAAAAAUGGGGAUCCCUCCCCUUAAGCUCCCUGUAUAUAUAUAUAUAUAUAUAUAUAUAUAAAGAAAAUGGGGAUUCUCGGCCACAACUAUAUAUAUAUAUAUAUAUAUAUAUAUAUUGGGGGGGUUGUUUUUAAUGAGGGCAUUAGAGACUCGGUGGACGUCAAAUCUUGGUCAAAUGAGUGGGUCUGAGUUUCAAUGGCCAUGUGGGGUCGAGGGUUCAUGAUUUAUCUUGGUCAUGAUAGAUGAGUGAUAUUCAAUUGGAGGAAUUCAGCACAGUAUUUUGCCGAAUAAGUUUUUAUUCGGCGGUGGUUUCUCCAAUAAUUCUCGGCCAUAUGUUUUUCUCGGUCACUCGGAGGUAGUCAGUCAUCGGUAUUAUUAUUGGUAAAUCAGUAUUAUUGGAUGAUCAGACUUGGUGCAUACAGCUGAGCUAUCAGGGAUAAGGCCGAGUAAUCAACCGAGCUACCAAGAAUUAGUCAUUGCUGAGCCUUGCAUAUAGAAUGAUGGCUACGAACAAUUAAUUUCCUUAAAUAUUCGGCUUAUGAGCCGAAGUUCAAGGAAAUUGGGGGGCAAUGUUUGGACUCAAAUUUACACCAUCGGCCCAUGUAAUCAAGGCCGUUGAGUGAGCAUAGUUCUCGACCGUCAGAUGGAAAAGUGAAGAUAUUUUUGUUAAAGGAUAAUAUUAUGAUUUUUUAUCAUAAUAAUUAUUUUUUAAUGAUGAAUUAUCUUGAUUUUUUCCUGGUACAAGAUGGAUGAGAUGUAAAUGUAGUUCAAUUUGAUUUGGGAUUCUUGGAGUUAAGACGCGUGGUGGAUUGGGAGCAUCAGAGCACGUUAUUAAGAGUCCUAAUACACUACUGCAUUGUUGGCAAAUGGAAAUUGGCAGAGAUAUUAAUGCUUGCAUAAAGAUGAAGAUGUUAAAUUGGAGAUGGAUAGCCACGUGUGAGUGGAUUUGGUGGAGCCAUGCAUGCAUAUCAUUAUUUCAAGUCAAGAUGCUUAUCGGCACUAAUUGGUAUAUGCUAAUAUGCUAUUAAUUAGCAAGAGGUGGUUACAUGUUGGUAAGUGAUAACAAUCUUUUUGCAUGAGAUUGUUAUGAAUGAGGACUUUGAUGUUGGCGGCAGCUUUACAACACGAGCCGUCAGGAUGAGGAUGAUACUUAUAAAUACAGAGUCGCAAACAACGGGUAGGACCCCUGCAAAUCAAUACAAAAUUGCCCUGCGCAAAUUCUCACAACUUGUGAUUUUUCUUUUUUCCUUUUUUCGCUGACACAUCUUCCGUUGGCAUCAACAACAGCACUGUGGAAGCAACCGGUGAUAUCUUAAGUCGGCAUAGAUAGCUCUGUCACCGUAGAAUCAGUCGGUCUCGCAGUAUCUUCCGUUGGCAUCAACAGCACUGCGGCGAGAACGAUUGAUUAUCUAUCCAAGUCUCGGUCGAGAAGGAUUUCUGAAUCCUUGUUGGUCGAGGUCAUCUCAUCAGCCUUCUCGGCGAAGUGAGGUGUUACAAGUGACUACAUUCGGCACGUUGAAAGCCGAAUUUGAUAUUGAGCUUCGUAAAAAUAGUAACCUUGUCUUCAGGUUCGAGAGCCCAAGAGGCCGAGAUGUGUUCCUUUCUCGGCCGCAAUCGCAAGACGCAGAAGUCAGUAGCGCGACCCAACGCAACAUCAACAAAUUUACUCCUCGGCCGAGCGCGGCCGACGAGUUGGCACGCCCCGCAUUCACCGAAGGACGUAGUUAGCUCAUUAAUUACUCGGCCUGCGCGCCACGUAGGCUUGGUAGUUUCUAGGGUCAACAGGGGCAUAAUAAUUGUUCAGCGCAUUCGGCAGCUGAUAAAAAAUCUUUCGUCAAGUCAAACAUAUUUGGAGAUAGUAUUUUAUUCGGCCUUGCAAAAAUUCAAAGUGAAAGUUUUGAUACAAAAAGCCUUCGGCUUGGAAUAAAACAUCGUUGGCCUCCUCCAUUUAUAGUAGGGCCACUUUUGUUUUCUUUUGCUACAAAAUAAGAAUAAAUUAUUUUCUUAACCAUUCGGCUUUUUAGGCCGAUGCUUAAGAAAAUAAAGGGGGCAAUAAGAUGGUGCGGACUUAGAAAAACAAGAAAAAACAAGAUGGUGUACUCGGCAGACAAUUUUGGUCAAAUAAUGGUGUAUUUGGCAGACAGUUUUGGUCGAAUGAAUUUGCGAGAGCAUGCAUGACAAUUGUUCGGCAGACAGUUUUGGUCAAAUGAAUUUAUGGGAGCAUGCAUGGUUGCGAAGCUUGCUCAAUUCAGUUUCGAUGUGCGGUUUAAUAUAUAUAUAUAUAUAUAUAUAUAUAUAUAUAUAUAUAUAUAUAUAUGUCAGAAUGACCCAUCACAUGAAACAGAAAGAGAGACGCAUACGGAAAAGACAAAGGAAUAUUCAUGAAGUUAUGGUAGGCUUCCAUAUGGGCUAACAUUUUCGUUUGGUGAUGUAGUGAUCUGUGAAUUCCUAACAGCAUUAUUUGGCCGAAUACAAAUCUUUGGCCGAAUAAAACAUAGUUCGGCCGAAUAGAAUGGGUUAUAUAUAUAUAUAUAGGCUCUACAGCCAGUUCUUCUCGGUCUCGGCCCCAUUUACUCUCGAUCCCAGUAUUUUUGACCGAUACUAGUGUUUUCUCGACCCCGACAGUUGAGAGUUGGAGUAGUUCACGACACUGGCAGAGGGAGGUUAUGACAUUGGCAGAACAUAGGUGAUUUUAAUACCGAGAGACAAAAUUUGUUUCGGCAAUACGACGAAGUGUUGUUGGCUACGAGCAAUUAAUUUCCUUAACCAUUCGGCUUACGAGCCAAAGCUCACGGAAACUGGGGGGCAAUGUUUGGACCUGAUUUUACACAUCGGCCUAAGCAAUCGAGGCCGUUGAGUAAGCAUGGUUCUCAACCGUUGGAUAAGAAAGUUUAGAUAUUAUUGUUAAGAGAUAAUAUUAUGAUUUUUAAUCAUAAUAAUUAUUUUUUUUAUAAGUUAUCCCGGUUUUUUAUGCAAAAUAAAUGGGAUGGAGGCAAGUAGAGUUGUGAUGGGGACGUGAGCUUUGAAUCAGGUUGGUUUGUUUUGCUGGACAUGCAUACAUGGGAUGUAAAGAUAAUGAAGUGAUAGGGGAUAAAUCCAAACAUGCCAAAACGUGUAAUUUGCAAAAGAAUUGUGCAAUAUGGAGAUUCUAUCCUAAUGCAUGGUUUUUUGGGUUUGGUUUUGUGCACGUGGCAUGUGACAAUGGAGAUGAUGGUUUUGCAUGGUGAUGGCAAUAUGGGUUUAAAGGUUUCUCAUGUUUUUUUAAUAAGAAGCCUAGGUGGGUUAGAUCUCUAGUGAGAUGUGAUAAAGCCUAGGUGGGUUAGAUCUCUAGUGAGAUGUGAUAAAGCCUAGGUAGGCUUUAUUUAUCUGAAGGAUAUGUGCGGCGUAUUUGAUACGGUAUCAGGGUUUAUCUGAAGGAUAUGCGCGGCAUAUUUGAUACGGGAUCAAGGUCAAUUCCACAAAAUAGAGUUGCAGUUGGACUCUACAAAAUUAUUUGGCCGCGUCACACAACAUUUGCUCCUAUAAAUACAAAGGUAGUGGCAACGGAAGAAAGACCCCUGCAAAUCAAUACAAAAUUGCCCUGCGCAAAUUCUCACAACUUGUGAUUUUUCUUUUUCCUUUUUCGCUGACACAUCUUCCGUUGGCGUCAACAGCACCGUGGAAGCAACCGGUGAUAUCUUAAGUCGGCAUAGAUAGCUCUGUCACCGUAGAAUCAAUCGGUCUCGCAGUAUCUUCCGUUAGCAUCAACAUCACUGCGGCGAGAACGGUUGAUUACCUAUCCAAGUCUCGGUCGAGAAGGGUUUCUGAACCCUUAUUGGUCGAGGUCAUCUCAUCAGCCUUCUCGGCGAAGUGAGGUGUUACACGUUAUUACGUUCGGCAUAUUGAAAGCCGAAUUUGAUAUUGAACUUCGUAAGAAUAGUAACCUUGUCUUCAGGUUCGAGAGCCCAAGAGGCCGAGACGUGUUCCUUUCUCGGCCGCAAUCGCAAGAUGCAGAAGUCAGCCGCGCACCCAACGCAACAUCAACAAAUUUACUCCUCGGUCGACGAGUUGGCACGCCCCGCAUUCACCGAAGGACGUAGUUAGCUCAUUAAUUAUUCGGCCUGCGCGCCACGUAGGCUUUGUAGUUUUUAGGGUCAACAGUCACAUUUCAGGUGUCGGCUAACACUACUUAUUUUCGGUGUCCACUUGAAUAUAUGGGUCAGGGUGUGUCAUAAUGAACGCAGGCGAGCAUGGAUUCGCAACGGGGGUUCAAAAUCAAGUAGAUCCGAAUUGAAUCUCACAAAAACCCGACUGGAUUAUCAUCGGGAAGACUGUAGGCUCUCGAGGAUGGGUGGUUUCACCAGAAAAUGGUCAAACAAGGCCGGGGACAGGGACGACGCAAAAAUGGCAUCAUUUGGUCCUAGGGUUUCAGAAUAAGAGCAGCUAGGCUCCUUGUGGCUUGCGACGCAGCUUGGCGACUCGGCUUACACGCUUCAGGUCGUGGCUCGCGCGGGAGGUUGCAGCAACCCUAAUUUUCUUCUUUCUUUCUGUUCUCACACAAUCAUUAAUUCACCACAACAACAUAUAAGCAAAAUAAUAUUAUAAUUCGAAAAGCAUAAAAUUGGGUUCAUGCACUAUGUUGAAGAUUUCAUGCAAUUAGAGCUGGAAAAAAAAUCAAAAUUGAAACCGUAUUUUAGAAGUUACUUAGAUUGUAUGAUCAAAAUUUUGAGCUGUUUUGUAGCAGAAAAUAGCCUCUAGAUUCAUAGCGCAACGUCUAGAGUGUGCUGAUAACAUUUUGUUUCAUAUUUUACUAAAAGAAAGGGAAAUGGUGUGGUGAUAGUGGUGGAGAAAAAGACUCGGAAAAAUUGGUGUAUGUUCCCUUGUGCCAAUGCCUUUAUUUAUAGUAAACAGAAAGAAGAAGCAAACUUGCUCACCAAAAACACAUAGUCUAAUAGAAAAAAAAAAUCAUCUAAAUUACAUAGAAAUCCUAAUUCAAAUCUACCAAAAUUUACCGAAUUAUACUACAUCAAUAUUAAAUGUAACAAUAUUGACUAUGAUCCUACAGUUUUAUUUGCCAGUGUAUGUCUUUUAGCUAGCUUUAUAAUAACUUAUCAAUUUGAAUUUUUUGUCCCAACAAGUAAGCUAAUAUAUAUUAAAAAAUUAGUAUGUGUACACACACAAGAGAGCCAUAUAGUCUUUGGUCUUAUUGUCUCAAAAGUCAGAAGAGAAGACCCGAAGAACGAGCACUCCUCCAUAGUCCACAUUUCUCUACGGUCAUAUUCGGCGGACAAAAUUCUAUGCUCCAACGUCUUCGCUCUCCUUUUUUUUUUUUUUUUUUUUUUUUUUUUUUUUUUUUUUUUUUUUUUUUUUUUUUUUUUUUUUUUUUUUUUUUUUUUUUUUUUUUUUUAGCAAAUGAUAUUAUUUAUAUUAAAUGAUUGAGAUAACAUGUCAAAUUUCACACGUAACUAGCUAUAAUAAUGUUAUUUAAAUUCAUCUUUGACGAGAAUUGAAACUAAGACCUUACUUAUAAGUGAAAAUUAAUAUCAUUAACUCGUAGUACUAAAUAACACUUUAAUCUUUAAAAUUUACAAUCAAACUAGAUUUUUUUUCUCCUUUCUAUAUCCCGUGUUCCAAUUUCCACAUCCACACUUACAAAGUCGUACACGAUGACAUAGCACCAUACCCAUAUAUGGCAUUUGAUGUUUCUAGUCCUCGACUAACAUGAAACGUACAGUCGAUUCUUUCCCUUAGUCCCACUAGUCACAUGUGAUUCCUAUUCUUUUAUAAACAACUUUUUUUUAUUUAUUUUUUUUCAGCCAAAGAAGUUAAUUAAAAUUUUCAAACUGAAAAAUUAUUUAAUCAAUUACAAUAGCAUAAUAUUCAAACUGGAAUUUUUUUUUUUUUAGAGAAUGAUUUUCUACUCAAGAGGUGUGGGGAUUGAACCAUGCCACAUAAGGGGUUAGCUCUUAACUAAAUAUCAAACUCAACUCGAAUAUAAUACAUCAUCGCGAUCCAUAUGAGCAAAACCUGAGACGACUCACUUGAAAAUAGAGAUAAUUAUCACUAAAUCAUAGUACUAGCUGGUCACUUUAAUACAGUACUCACACUUGUAGGCUUUGGCUACACUAGCAUCAAUUAACUCUUGAUAUAACGUAAUUUUACUUCUUAAUAUUAUUCCCAAUUGAUUAACAAAACUACUAUAACAAAAACAAAUAAUAUAACUAAAAUAUGGACUUACGAAAAAUAAAAGAAAAUGAUUUUCGUACAAUUUUCCUCACUCUACGCAUCUCUAUUUAUUUUAAUCUAUCGAUUCUCAUUUAUUUCAUUUAAUUCAAAUACUAGAAAUAAAGUGGCAUUAAGACUAAGAAGGUACAAAUCCCAUCAGCUCAUGGGCAUUAGUGGAAUUUCGCCCUUCUUUAACUGCAUUGUCCCUCCAUAUGCAAGUUAAUUUCACGCGGAUACAAACCCAAUACUUAACUAAGCAACAACAGGCCCACAUUUGACCAACAACUAAUUUAGUCGUAUUUACAUACACACCCCUGUCCCACCACCACCAAGUCAAAACGACGACGUCACCUUCGUCCUCAAAAACUCCUCCAACCUCCACUUCCUUCCAAAACACAACAAACUCAAACCUCUCCGUCUGAGAAACUCUGGAGCACCAAACAAUCAACUCGCCACUAAAAAUGGGGAGGGAGCGGGACCAUCUCUACAUCACCGUUCCCAACCUCUUCCGCUGCCCCAUCUCCAUGGACGUCAUGCGCUCCCCCGUCAGCCUCUGCACCGGCGUCACCUACGACCGCGCCAGCAUCCAGCACUGGCUCGAAUCCGGCCACGACACCUGCCCCGCCACCAUGCAGAUCCUCCAGUCCAAAGACGUCAUCCCCAACCUCACCCUCCGCCGUCUCAUCAACCUCUGGGCCCAGUCCCACGGCCCUUCCUCGCCGGCCUCCUCUCCCUCUCUCUCCUCCCAGCACCUCGCCUCCCUCGUUCAAUUUCUCCGCAAUGAGAACGAGACUGAGAAAUUCAGCCAAAAUAUCGUAAACUCAUUGUCGAAGACUGCCGAUUUCGCGAGGGUCGGCGAGGAGAACCGGAGGUUUGUGGCGAAUUUCGACGGCUUCGUCUCCGCCAUUGUGGGGAUUCUGAACAGAGAAGGCGUCGAAAUCGAAGUUCUCGAAUCGGUAAUUAAGGUUUUGGAUUCGAUUUUGCCUCAAAGCGGAGUCAACGAGCAAUUGAGCCGAUUUAUUGCGAAGAGCAACGGCAAUUACCUCGCUUCAAUUCGAUUGGUACUGCAGAAAGGAAGCCUGAGCUCGAAGAUCGAAUCCGUCAAGGUUUUGGAUUCGAUCGCGCUCGACGCCGAGUCGAAACGAUUAAUCGCGGAGAAGGAAGGCUUAUUGUCCGUAUUCAACGAUCUGUUGAGCUUGGAAACGUGUCAGGACCUAUACGGCGCCGUUUUCUCAUGCUUAGCAUCAUUGUCCGUGAAUCGGUCGAUUAAAGCCGAGCUCGUCCGGUUCGGACUAGUCCGAGUUGUAACGUCAACGCUGCUAAAGCCGGACACUAGCACUACCCUUGCGGAGAAGUGUUUGAAGCUGUUAUCCACCAUUGCCACGUGCGCCGAGGGCCGGUCGGCGAUCAGCGGGGAGGAGAAGUGCGCGGAGGCGGUGGCGGAGAGGCUGAUGAAGGUGUCGAGGGGGGCGACGGAGGACGGCGUGGCGGUGCUGUGGAGCGUGUGCUGCAUGUUGGGGGACAAGAGGGCGAGGGAGAGCGUGGCGGGAGGAAAUGUGGUGGCGAAGGUGUUGUUGGUGAUGCAGAGUGGGUAUGGAGAGGGGCAUUUUGUGAGGAGGAUGUGUGGGGAUUUGGUCAAAGUUUUGAGUGUUGGGUUAGGGUUGGGGUUGAGGUAUGACACCAAGACUAUACAUAUCAUGCCUUGUUAGAAAUUGUUCAUGAUGAUAAUCUUGCUCAUUUAUUUUUUUUUUGGAAAUUGUGAAUUUGGAUAAAAAAUUUUAUAGAAACAAAAAGGAAAAUUCUUUUUAGUUUUGUAGUCAUUGAUCAUCAUUAUGUGAUUGAUGUUGUAUGAUUAGUAGAGAUAUUUUUGUGUGCUGUGAACAUGACCCGGUAUAUUAAGAAUAGUAUUACAAUUCGUUGGAAACUUUAAAAAAAAAAUUCCAAGAAAUUGUAUGUGCUGUGUUUCCGGAAAAAUUUCUUGGGUUUGUGGGGAUGUGAAUAUGCAAAAUUAUGUUGAUAAGAUGGCUUAAGUGAUUAAAAGAAUGAAGAAAUAAACAACUUUUUGUUAAUCUCAUGUUAAUCUUCUUUUUUGAUUUGUUGUUUCUUUUAUUGUUAAUUCAGAAAAGUUUCAUGAUGAAUUUGUUUGGACUUUGAAAAAGGAUUAGGGACAAGAAUCCAAUCCAUCGUAAAAGGGGCAAGUUUUGAUAUGAUUUGCAAGUUAUAACUUGUUAAGUAAGAGAACGUAAGGAGAUCUAUUGUAUACUUGGGUAAAUUUAAUUGGUCUUAAGUUCAAAUUUAUUUCUAAGUAAUUUUGGAGUAAUUGUGAUCAAAUAGUUGUAUGCUUUUUUUUAGAGUGGACUUACAAGUCACAGUUGUAUUGCCUCAACUACGUUUUAUACCAAUAAUACAAUACCAUGCAGAGAAAUUUACACAUAAUGUUGUAUAUUUGGCAUGAGACUAUCUUAGUGAAAAUGUAUCCAUGCCAUAGAAGUCGUCCUCUCUUUUGUGGGUGAGGUAGUUCUGGGCAAUGAACCUGUAUGAAAAAAUAUGAGUUGUUGAGCUAUGCACGAGUGUCAAACGUAACAUGGCUUAUUUUCGUAUCCCUGGUAAACAAACUACAAAAUCGUUGCUCUUAGAACAGUAUGUGUUUAAUUUCAAAAACGAGACAAAAAUGAUUGUAAAGAAAAAACACUAAAUAAGGAGACAAAUUCAGGCUAGUUUGCGUUCGAAUUUUACAGGGUAAGGCAACAACUUGGCUGUAGUAGGCAUCUGGUUUGCAAAAAUCCAGCAGAAAACAAUUGUAUGGACAACAAAUUGCGAUGCUCCGAUGCGACUCUCUAACAAUGUAAAGCUGUUUUGAAGUGGUGAAGGAACAAGGGUCAUGGCGCCAGAUAACCGAGUUGUAUCAGCAACCAUUUUUAUGAGCCUGCUGCCUCGGCUUCCAUGCUCGAUUCUGGUAACUUUGUCAUCUACAACUCGGACUCAAAUAUCAUUUGGCAGAGUUUUGAUACUCCAACCGAUACCAUUGUAUCUGGCCAGCGAUUGCUGGCUAGAAAGAAGCUUGUCUCCAGCAUCUCCGACACAAAUCAUGCAAGCGGAAGAUUUAGACCUUCAAUGUAGCGUGAUGGGAACCUAGAGAUGUACCUGGAGUGUCCAAUUAUAUUACAACCUGAUUGAUCGGUAUGCUUACUCAAAUAGUGGGACGUACAGGGCUGGAGACAAUGAGUCACUCAACGUUGAUCACAAUGGACAGUUAUAUCUCCUCAGUUACAAUAUAAGGAACGCUACGAAUCAGAAAGAGCUGUUUGACACACACACGUAUGUACCACAUGAUGAUUGACUUUGAUUGUAUUACUCCAGUUAUACUUCCAUACUAUUUAUAUUUAAUUUUAAAUUUUAAAUGAUUUUUAACCGCACGAUAUACAUGAACGGACAUAAUUAUGGGAUCCUCCAAAUUCCUGAGAAAAGGACGUCGAACAAGAAUCUUUGGUUGCUCCAUUGUCUCAUUUGACGGACUGAAAUAACGGAGCUAACAAACUGUAAGUACAAAGGACGAAAGUGAAAAGAAAAAGGCUAAAGGGAGGUAAGUGAUAAUUCGAUUUAAACUAACGGGACCAUGAGUGCAAUCUGACUCGCUCCUUAACUUGGAAAAGCCAACCAGGGCGUUCCAAGUGUGAUGAUGAACACGUGCCGAAACACCAUUGGAUUCUGGAGGGGAACCAGUGAGGCCUCCCGCAGCAAAGCCACACAAAAUGAUACACAAGCGAUCUGAGUCGUCGGCGAGGAUCCUUUUCCGUGAAAAAUCGAUCGAAGAAGCAAAGGCAGGUCACUGAAUAAAGAAAUAAAAACACAGAAGCUGAAGCUGUUGCGGGAAAAAGCUUGACCAAAUCAGGGUUCCCGAAUUCGAAUCGCCAACGAGGUUAACCAGAUUAGGGUUUUAACAAAAUUUUUAAGUUACUUUUACCAUGUUGUAAUUGCUUAAUUUUUUUUGCUGAAAUUCAGAAAUUUGCAGGAAAACUGAAAUGGGGGACGGCCUAUGGAACCGCCAGCAGCAGCAGCAGCAGCAGCAUCAACUGGGUCCCUCUGGCGGCGUGCAUAAACGACCUCGUUCCGACUACGGUAACUCCUCUGUGGCCAUUUCUCAUAGUUUUUUUCUUUAAUUAGAUGAAAUUGCGAUUGCAUUCGUUUGCAUUAUAGAUUUAGUUGUCAAACCAUUUAAUUUCUGACUUCUUGUUUAUAAUUCGAGCGAUAUUAUAAUCUAAUCGAAACUAUGGGGAGAGGGGGAUUCGAACUUGGGUGCAGAUGGGGAGCACACUGCUCGAGCCAACUUAGCUAGGCCAAAGUCUGCUUCUUCGUGUUAUAAGUGUUUUUACUUUAGUGGUUCUUGAUGGGUUUCGGGUUUCAAUGUAAAUUAUGUUUCAAAGUGGUGAAAUUUAUGUGAAGGGUCAAGGGUAUCUAGACAAAGGAUUCCAGUUCAGUUGUCUGAUGACUCUGCUUGUAUGUAUCUCCCCUUACUCUAGUAGAUAUGCAGAUUCUGGUUUUGUAGCUAGGUGUCUCUUUUCUUUUCUUUUAUAAAAAUUACAAUAAAUGUUUUGCUUCCAUAGUUCCAUGUGUACUCUUACAUCUUCGGGGUCUUCUUGAAGCAUAUAAUAUAGUCUUAGCCUAUCUGUUCCACUUACUACAAUUGCGAUCAACACUCAUACUCGUAUGAUUCCAUAUAAUAAUGUAUCUUCCACGAAAGCUUUACUAAGCAUAUGAUUUCUGUUAUUAUUUUCUUUGUAACCAGAUCACAGUUUUUGGCCUUCAUGUUUCCUUCGGUCCAUUGUUAAUGAUAUUAUUUACUGGAUUUCAUAUUUAGAGCAACUUUUGAAUGAUUUCCACAUUAGCGGUAGUUUUAGAAGUUACUGGUUGUUAUUAAGUUAUGUUCAAGGGGGGAAAACCUUGUUCGGUGUGUUUGCUAAGACCUGUGUGAAAAUGGAAACUACUACAAAAUCAUUCAGGUUUCCAAUUACAUUGCAAGGUACUUAAGAAUGGAUCUUUUCCUGAACCCAACCAAACCCCAAACCUCUGAAAUUAUCAAGUAGAUUCUUUCCUUUUAGUGCGGUCAGUCUUCCAAUCUAAUACUAUUCUUCAAUAAUUAUGGUAAUAAGAUCCUCCAUACAUAUUUAUAAUGCAAUUAUGUUUAUAUACAAAUUGAUGCAUAUUAUUGGUAUACAUUUUGAUAUAACCAAAUUCCCCUUUUUUUUCAUUUAGUUAUUUGUUUGCUGAGUUGUUCUUGUUAUAACUUCUUAGUCACUGAUCAAAAGCCUAGACUUGUAUAUUGUAUGUAGAUGUUUUGAUUGGUAUGUUUUCUUUGUACUUUUGAACAUUGGUGGCAGUUUUACUUGUUCAAAUACCACCUAGUUGUUAGUAGUGAUAUUGUUCAUUCCGCACCUUGGGUCUAACUCUGCACAUUAAAGAGUAGGUUUUUACCUUGUUAAUUGACGGGGCAUACUCUACUUCCACCUCAUGCUUCUCAAUUGGUUUCUUGAUUUAAGUUCUUCCAUCUGCUUUUUUAUUUUUUAUGCCUUUUCUCUUGUUCUAUAGUUGUAAUAUAUACAGCUGAAUUAGGGUCUAUUUGUUAAUGUUUUCUCAAUGUUGUGCCUUUAAAUAUAGGUAAAUUAUGCGCUUGGUGCAUUAAGUUUGUUAAACAUGGGAAACAUAUUCUGUAAAAUGAUCUCAACUUUUGUUCUUCAAGUUAGGAAACAACCAUUCCACUAUUUAUGUUGUUUUCAGGGGGAUUGUGAAACAUGGUGAGUAGUUAGAAACAAAAAAAGGAACCUUUCAACUGGAAUAAAUGUUUCUGUCAUCCUCAGAGGCUCUGUUGUUGGUCCUCACUUUUCACGUAUAUCUGCUCUCAAAAACCUAUACCAAAAAACCAAACACCCUAUCGCCUCUCUCUUCCUUUCUUUCUCCAUCUCUCUUUGCCUCCUCAUCUCUCCCACUUUCUCUCUACACCCUCAAAACCUGCACUCCAGCCCCACUCCGAACGCCUGACCCAUUCAUCGAAACCAAUAUGUGGAACCUCUUCUCAACCUCCCCCGCCCCCGCCCCCGCAAUGUUGUCGUCUCGUCUCUGAUUUGAAAACAUUUGGUUGUGGGUUGUUUUCAAUAUAAUAAGUUGGACGUGAAUAAUUGUUAGUGAUAAAUUUGGAUGGUAGAGUUUGGUAUUAUUUCAAUUUAAACUGGAGUGGUCAAGAAUUUGGUAGAACUUGUAAAAUGGAGAAACUGAAGAUGGUGAAUCAGACUUGGUUUCAGUUUAAACGGGGAUAGUUAUACCGUACUUGUAUGGGAUAUAGAGCGAUGUUGGAUGCAGCUUUAUUUUAUUGUAUCGGUUUUGUUUUGGUGUCGGAAUGGUUAUACUGUACUUGUAUCUGUUUCUUUAUCUCGUUUUGGUGUUGCUUUAUUUUUUUAUUGCUUUUAAAUCUGAAAUGGUUAUACUGCACGUGUAUUGGAUAUAGGUCUGAUGUUGGAUGUUUAUUGAUAUGAAUGUUCCAUUUAAUAGGGCUCUAACUCACAAUGGUUUUGGUUAGCUUUGAUGCGGGCAUGGGAUAAAUCAAUUUCACUAUUGUGCCGUUUAAAAGGGCUCUUAACUCACAAUGUUUUAAUAUAUUUGUUUGGUUCAUUGAUACGUCUUGUCAAAAUGUGUUUACAUUAGUUACGUGUUUGAACUUUGAUUAUAAUAUUUAGUUGAAAAUAGUUUUUCAAAAUAUUGCUGCCUAAUACAAAUUCAGUAAUUUAAUUUUUUUCUCAUACUAGCACUGAACACAUUUUCACUGUUUUUGUUUUUAGAAACAUUUUUUCAAACUAUUCUACCAGAUGCAUUAUCUAAUGUUAAAUUACAAGAAUGUUAUAUCAUUUUCAUUUUCUGAAAGGUUUUUAUGCAGAUGGUUUUGUAAAACAUCACCUGAUAGGCUCUUACUUUUCUGUAUUGUCAACCUGUCUUCAGGUCAAGAGAUGCAUGGUUAUUUUGCGCGAGAGGAUGAUCUUGGUGGUCCUAGGACUGUAAAGGAUAACAGAUCAAUCGGAUCAGCAUAUGACCGUUAUCUUCAGAAUGCGGUGACUUUCUUAAGCAUUUGAAACUAUGCCUAUUAUUAUUUGUGUUACAUCUCUCUGUUUCUGUACUAAAACAUUUGUCCUACUUGCUUCUAAAGGAAAUGGCUUCGUACACUUCUGGAGAAGCGAGUACUUUUGGUGGAGCUGGAAUGGGAAGGGCUGUUGGUGGUGGAAUGACAGGUCCUCCAAUGGCUGAUCAUUCUAUGAGGGGCCGUCCUGGAGCUAUGUCUUCUGAUGUACUAACAAAUGGUCGAAAUAUGAAUCUUGCUAAUCAGCUCCCAGUUGAUUCAAUGCCUAGGCCUGGACGUGAAACAGUUCCUUUACCUCUGGAUGCAUCCAGCACUUUAUAUGUUGAAGGACUUCCUCCUGACAGCACAAGGAGGGAAGUAGCUCGUAUCCUUUAUGAUGCUUAAGAAUUAUUGCAUAUUGCUUUCCAAUCUUAUUGUUUAACUCAAUAGUUUUUCCAUCGCUCCUCCUUUACAUAACUCUUAAGAUAUCUUUCGUCCUUUUGUGGGAUACAAAGCAGUGAGGCUUGUGAGCAAAGAGUCCAAACACGUAUGUGGGGGUGGAUUAUUGUAAACAAUUACUUUUCUUAGUCAUUCUGUUUUUCUUGAUCACUCUGACUUGAGAUUGUCGUUGUGCUACUUGGUUCGACUCUUGGGAAGUUUAUAAUCUUUCUUCACACUAAUAUUCCGGUUUGUCCAUAAUGCAGCGUGGCGGGGAUCCUCUUAUUCUUUGUUUUGUGGAUUUUGAAAAUCCAGCCUGUGCAGCAACUGCUCUGAGUGCCUUGCAAGGUGAUUGCUUUUUAUUGUCAUCAACCUUGGUGACUAUCAGUGUCAAAGAAAGCUUAAUUCUUUCUUUCUGUUUUUAUUUGUUUCCUUUAUAGCUUCACAAGUGUUAUUUUCUAUCAUACCUUAUUCAAUCAUGUAAAGGGUAAAUUUAUGUUAAAAUUCUUCCAUGCAUAGUAGGUGUAAAGAGGUUGAGGCAGUUCAUAAAAAUGUUAUAGAUGGCUUCUUGUGAUUUAAUAUUGGAGUUCAUAAUAUCUCUACACUACAUAUCGUGUAGAACUAGCUGGAUUGCUCAUUAUUUUCCCAUGUUUGUUGUUUUUGAAAAGCUGGAAGAUGCUGACAUUUGUGUUGCUGGAAGAUGCUGACAUUCAUGUAAUUCCAUGCAUAGUGUUUUAGUAUGUGUAAAGACGUUGAGGCAGUUGAAAAAAAAAAUGUUAUAGAUGGUUUCUUGUGAUUUAAGAUUGAAGUCCAUAAUAUCUCUACACUCCCGAUUGUGUAGAACUAGUAUUGCUCAUUAUAUUUUCCCGUGCUCGCGGUUUUUGAAACGCUGGAAGAUGCUUACAUUUGUGUUGCGUUUGCAGGUUAUGAAAUGGAUGAACAUGCUCCUGAUUCUAAUUACUUGCGGCUGCAGUUUUCUCGGUUCCCUGGUCCUAGGUCUGGACCUGGCCGUAACAAGAGGUGAUAGGCAUUAGGUGAUGAGAAAUAUCUGUUUUUGAUGUAAUCAAGAUUGCAUUUGCUUUUAAUACAUUCCAUAUAUAUAUAUAUAUAUAUAUAUAUAUAUGUAUUGCUCAGGCUUGGGCACACACCAACUGUAAGCACUUCUGAUGCACAUUGUUGUUUCGAGGUAGUGAAUCAGAAACAGUUUUAUAGUUGUGCAAUUAAACAGAGAUCUGAUUUUGCACGUCCAUGGUCUACAAAAUUUGUAAGUGUUUUUAGAAGUGGCAAGUUUCUCAGGCACAAACCCUUUAAAAACUAGUGUGUUUUUUUAGCAUGGAUUUGCAGGCUUCUGUUACAUAUAUCAUAUGGUAAGUGAUUUCCGCUCGCUUUUUCUCCUUGUACAACUCCUUUUUUCCUAGUUUAAGGGUUGGAUAAAUCAAAUCAAAGGAGAAUAAGUGGAAAGAAACAUAAGGUGAAUGCAGGAGGAGAAAAUGGGAACGUGCCGAUGACUACCGAUCAAACUCGUCUUUUCUUGUAACUUCCAACUGCAUGGAGAAAAGCAAGACACUGCGUGAUGAGAAUGGGCAUUGCAUGGUGUCAUGUCUUGUGGUGUUAGAAAUUUGAUCCGAGUCCUUCCCAUUUGGACUACAGUUAAGGACAGGCUCUACUAUGUCCUCCCAAUGCUAAGCACUAGGUAGUGGGCUGCCGACUAGUCUAUGUGCCACUGUACAUAUCACAUGGGCUUUCAACCCAUAAUCCUAUCCUGCUAGAGCUUCCCCCUACCCUUCUUGAAAUUAGUAUACCGUCAGGUAUGUUGCUGUCUCUCAUAUCACGUGACUAAUGAUUCGUUUGGAAUUACUUCUUUCAGAAACACUUAUACUACAAGUGUUUUUAUUGUAGACACGUUAAAUCUUUACAAACAAUCCAAGUGUUCAUUGAAAAAUAUUUGAAAGUGCUUCUUGAAAAAGCAUUUGGCAAGUGCUCCUCUAAAGAUAGUUUAUACGAGUCAAAAGAAUUUCUAAUAUUUUAUCUUUAUGCCAAUCGCAACAGAACACAUUUAGCUUUUCCAGAAUCAAUCCUAAACUAGUUCUAAGCAAAGAAAGGGCAAUAUAACAUAAGGACAACGAAGAAUCUCUCUAACAUUAAAGGUUAUGUUUGUUCGGUCACUAGACUCAAACAAAAGAGAAAAGUAGAAGUGGGCAAUAAAUUGGUUUUCGAUUACCAUCAAAUUGGCACAACAUUCGGCAUUGUUUCGCAAAAGACUGCUUUUUUUUCUUAGCAUUAGUUUUACACACACUCUAGUGUGUGGUAAAAACAAGCUAGGGUUUGGUUGGAGAACAAGUCUGAGCAGUUACAUGCCAUGUGGGCUGGAGGGUUUCGUUUGGUGCCAUUACUCUUUUUUCUUGUUCUAUCAUCCUUGUCGAACUGGAAGAGAAAAAGGAGGGGAAAAGGGAGUUUAGGGCAAAAAGGAUACUGAGUUUAUAAACCAGGAAAUGUCUAAGCAAUUUGUUUGUGCCAACGUGACUGUUAUCUAAAUAUAGCGUACUUGUGGUAUAAAAGAAAAAGGCAAAAAGGGUAACUGUAAAUAGUUGUUGUACUUAAGUGUAAAUUGUCCCACAACUUGUCCAGGGACCAGUGCAUAUAAGUUGUAGCUGCAAGUGCAAGGAGCAACCUCUGGAUUAGAUAGACGGAUGGACUUGGUUUGGUAUGAUUCCAAGUCGUCGUUGAUGUUUCUUCUUCUUUGUGGCCCAGCCACCCAGGACUAUAGUCCUUAUUUGGUAGGUAUUUAUUGCAAGGCUAACUAUAGGAUUGGAGAUAGACAAAGGGAGAUGGGACAUGGAGAAUGGUUUGCCAAGUUUGUUUAGAAUGGAUCGGGAUCAAUGCCCGUUGGAUCCCUAGUAAUUGAAUAUUAGUUAAAGAUUCAACGUCUAUGAAUCUCGGUCUAUGUUAUGAACUGUUUUUACAAUUUUCGUUCAUUGUGUAUCACGUAAUAUGCAUAAUGUUAGACAAUCCACUUGUUUUAUUUGAGACAACUGUAUUUGAUGCACUUCCUAAUUUCUGUUUUCUGACUUGCUUCAAUCUACAUUCUCUUGAUAUUUUUUUUUCCAUUUUACUCGGUUUUAUGAUAGUGAGAACAUUCAACAUGGCCUCUUCUUCCUCAAGUUGCUUCUUUGUGAUACGUAUAUCUGUUUUUGUACUAAAACAUGUAUCCUACUUGCUUUUAAAGGAAAUGCCUUCGUACACUUUUGGAGAAGCGAGUACUUUUGGUGGAGCUGGAAUGGGAAAGGCUGUUGGUGGUGAAAUGACAGGUCCUCCAAUGGCAUGAUCAUUCUAUGAGGGCCAGUCCUGGAGCUAUGUCUUCUGAUCUAUUAACAUAUGGUCGAAAUAUGAAUCUUAUUAAUCAGCUCCCAGUUGAUGCAAUGCCUAGGCGUGGACGUGAAACAGUUCCUUUACCUCUGGAUGCAUCCAGCACUUUAUAUGUUGAAGGACUUCCUCCUGACAGCACAAUGAGGGAAGUAGCUCGUAUCCUUUAUGAUCCUUCUAUGAUGCCUAAGAAUUAUUGCAUAUUGCUUUCCAAUCUUAUUGUUUUACUCAAUAAUUUUUCAAUCGCUCAUCCUUUACAUUACUCUUUAAGAUAUCUUUCGUCAUUUUGUGGGAUACAAAGCAGUGAGGCUUGUGAACGAAGAGUCAGGUUUGUCCAUAAUGCAGCGUGGCGGGGAUCCUCUUAUUCUUUGUUUUGUGGAUUUUGAAAAUCCAACCCAUGCAGCAACUGCUCUGAGUGCCUUGCAAGGUCAUUGCCUUUUUCUUUUCAUCAACCUUGGUGACUAUCAGUGUCAAAGAAAGCUUAAUUCUUCGUUCUGUUUUUAUUUGUCUCUUUAAAGGUUUGUAAAUUUUUUUUCUAUCGACCUUAUUCAACCAUGUAAAUGGAAAAUUUAUGUUAAAAUUCUUCCAUGCAUAGUAGGUACAAAGUGGUUGAGAUAGUUCACAAAAAUGUUAUGGAUGGCUUCUUGUGAUUUAAUAUUGGAGUCCAUAAUAUCUCUACACUCCAGAUCGCGUAGAACUAACUAGAUUGCUCAUUAUUUUCCCGAGCUUGUUGUUUUUGAAACGCUGGACGAUGCUGACAUUUGUGUUGCGUUCGCAGGUUAUGAAAUGGAUGAACAGGCUCCUGAUUCUAAUUACUUGCGGCUGCAGUUUUAUCAGUUCCCGGAUCCCAGGUCAAGACCUGGCCGUAACAAGGGGUGAUAGGCAUUAGGUGAUGAGAAACAUCCGUGUUGAUGUAAUCAAGAUUGCAUUUGCUCUUAUACAUUAUAUAUAUUGCUCAGGCUUGGGCACACACUAAUUGUAAGCACUUCUGAUGCACAUUGUUGUUCUAGGUAGUGAAAUCAGAAACAGUUUUAUAGUUGUGUUGAACGAUCUGAUUUUGCACGUCCAUGGUCUACAAUUUACUCAAGGAAUGUUUUAAUUCUGAAUUGAGAUUGUACUGUGCAUAGACUACCGCAAAAUUAGUACAGAGAUAGUUUCCCUAUAGAUUGUUUUCAUAUACUAGAGGACUUCCAUGGCCAGGGUAUCUUGCCACCAUAUUGUCCCCGUACAUUUUCCCUCCAUAUUAGUUAUAUAUUUAUCUGGACAUUCUAACCUAAUGAAGUCCUACAAUCAUCAUAACUCAUUUUACUUAGCUCAUGCUCCUUACAAUAUUUGAUGAACUCACAUAAGAAACUCAUAGAAAUUUGUUCCCAGUCAUUACCUUUGGACUGCAGUUGAAGCUUAUGAUACAUCCUCCCAAUGCUAAGCACUAGCUAGUGGGUUGUCGACUAAUCUAUGCCACCGUACACAUCGCAGGGGCUUUGAACUCUGUCUCAAUUAUUGUAAAGACGUUAGCCUCUUCAAUGAAAGAACCCAUAGUCCUAUGCUGCUAGAGCUCCCCCCACCCUUCUUGGAAUUAAUAUAGUGUUAGGACAUAUCGCUCUAUUUCUCACAUCACGUGACUAAUGAUUUCUUUGAAGUUACUUCUUUAGGAAACACUUAUACUACAAGUGCUUUUAUUAUAUAGAAUCUUUAUAAGCAAUCCAAGUGUUCAUUGAAAACGUAUUUGAAAGUGCUUCUUGAAAAAGCAUUUGGCAAGUGCUUCUUGAAAAAGCAUUUGGCAAGUGCUUCUAUAAAAGAGCUUAUUGGGUCAAAAGAAUUUCUAAGUUUUUUUUUCUGCCAAGCACAACAGAAUACACAUUUUAGCUUUUUCCAGAACCAAUCCCAGACAAGUUCUAAGCAAAGAAAGGGCGAUACAGCCUGAAGACAACGGAGAAUUUCCCUGACGUUAAAGGUUUUGUUUGUUCGGUCACUAAACCCAAAAAAAUAGAAAACUUGAAGUGGGCAAUGAAUUGGUUUUCGAUUUCCAUUAAAUUGGCACAACAUUCGGCAUUGUUAUGCAAAAAUAUACUUUUUUCUUAUCAUUAGUUUUACACACACUCUAGUCUGUGGUAUAAAAUGAGCUAGGGUUUGGUUGGAGAACAAGUCUACGUGGUAUCAUCACUUACAUUACAUGCCAUGUGGGCUGGAGGGUUUCAUUUGGUGCCAUUACUCCUUUUUCUGUUCUAUAAUCAUUUUGGAACUGGAAGAGAAAGUGGAGGGGAAAAGGUAGUUUAGGGCAAAAAUUUUCCAAUCAAUUUUUUGGCAGUGUGACUGUUUUCGAAAUAUAGAGUAGUUGUGGCAAAAAAGAAAAAGGAAAGGGGUAAUUGUACAUACACAUUGUUCCAAAGGGUCAGUUGUCCCACAACUUGUCAAGGGACCAGAGCAUUAAGUUGUAGCUGCAAGUGCAAGGAGAAAGUUGUGGAUUAGAUAGACCAAUGGAUUUGGUUUGGUUUAAUUCCAAGUCAUCGUCGUUUCUUCUUCUAUGUGGCCCAGCCGCCCAGGACUUUAGUCCUUAUUUGGCAGGUACUUAUUACAAGGUUAGAUAAAGGGAGAUGAUACAUGGAGAACGGUUUGCCAAGUUUGUUAGAGUGGAUCCGGAUCCAUGAGUGUUGGAUCUCUAGUAAUUGAAUCUUUAGUUAAAGAUUCAAUGUCUCAACGAUCUAUGCUAUACAUUUGUCUUUACGAAUUUUCAUUCAUUGUGUAUUACAUAAUAUUCUUGACCCUCUUAUAUGUGACUUCGGCCGACUUCUAUCACCCGAUAUCGUUGUGUAAUAACUUGAUGAGAUAGCCAAUGCUUAGGUCAUCUUCAAUGGAGAUGGCUAAAGGUCAAAAAGCUAAAAAAUAGUAUGAUUUGUUCAAAAACUCAUCUCCAACCAAUGUCAGAGCUAUAAUUAUAUGGAGCCCACCAUGCCAUUAUUUGGCUAGUGCCCCUUUCUUAGCCCCUUUUUGGGGCCUAGCUCCUCGAUUAUGCCAUCUGCAAUGAAGAGGGCUAAAUGUCUAAAAGCCAAAAAAUGACAUGAUUUACCCAAAAACUCAUCUCCAACCAAUAGCUAGGUUAUAAUUCUAUGGAUUCAACAGUUAGAUUUGGAAACAUCCAAUGUUAGUUUAAUUAAAUUAAAGUAUAAACUUAAAACUAAUAAAUUAUUAGGGAGCCUAUGUUUUAGCCCUUUCGGUUGGAGAUGGUAUAUGAGUAUGGCCGACACUAUUCAUUUAAAAAUAAUUUUUUUGUUGGGUUAUAAUUUUGGAUGAGGCUAUGUCUAGCCCUUUUGGUUGGAGAUGACCUUACAAUGAUUAAUUCAAAUUCAAUGGUUAAAUUUGAAAAUAUCCAACAAAACAUCCAACAGUAGUUUAAUUAAAUUAAUCAAUAAUUUUAAGUAUAAACUCAGAACUAAUAAAUUAUUGAGGGAGUUAUGUUUAGCCUUUUCGGUUGGAAAUGAUAUAUGAGUAUGGCCUAAUACUGUUUAUUAAAAAAAAAAUCUUUAGUUAUCUCUGCUAAUCAAUAAAACACUCAUUGUCAACCAAAAUCCUAUGAAAUUACCAGUUUAACCUUCUAAUUAAAACAAAACAUGAAUAAGAAAUAUGGGGCGGAAAUUUAAUUUUACACAAACAAAAUUUGUUGUUUUUUUUUUUCAAAACUUCAUCUAUAUAUAAUUCUAACAUAUCUCUAAUUAUAAAAUAAAUAAAAAAUAAAAAUAAAAACUUCCUACUCCCACAUUCUCUAUCACUCCCUUCCUCUCUUCUUUUAUUUUAAAACAAAAAAAAAAAUUUCACAUACUUUAUAUAUGCCCAUAUGCUAGUAAUUAUAAACGAAACUAUAUUUAACUAUUUCGUUGAAAAUGACCGUACGAGUAUGUAAAUUUUGAAAUGUGAGUUGUCGUUCACUACGCAAGCAAAGAUCGAAAGCCUUCAUGUACCGAGGGGUCCCACUCCUUGAAUCAGAAUAAAAGUGCUUUGAAAAAGUCCCUUUAAUUAUGUCCAAGUUUGGAUAAAAUUUGUCCAUGCAUGGCAUGCACUCACUGACUGAUCUCGUCGUCCUGAAGGGUAAGAGAGGUAAAUUCCAGAAUAACCCACGAGGCACUGUAUGAAGCCUGUCAAUUACAUCAACUCAUCAAGCUUUCAAUCUUUUCAUGGCAUGCCUAACUUCUGUGAAAUAUGCUCAACAUUUAACAUUUUGUAAACCAAAAAGAGAGUAAGAGAGAGAUGAUUGAAGUAAUAAAGUAAAAGCGAAAUGCAUGCAUUGAUAAAAGGAAAUUUUAACAAAAAAAAUUUCGGUACUGUUUACUUUAACAAAAAAUUAUAUUUUUACAUUAAAAAGUCAAUUCUAAUACUAUUCAUUUUACCCUUUAUUUGUUCUUUAUUGUUAAAAAUCAAAUUUUUCAAUCCAUUUUUAUUAGUUUUCCUUUGAUAAAAGGAGAAAGAUGCAUGGAGAACUGGUUUUUUAUUUUAUUAUUAUUUUUUUUACAAACAAUAAUAUUAGAGUGGAUUAAGUUAUUAGCUGUUAGCGAGAAGAGGAUCAAUAAUAAUCAAACUAGCACCCGGAUGUAUAAGCAUAAUUGUUUUCUAAAAUUGCAAUAAAACGUCACUUUCCAUAUAUAUAUAUAUAAAAAAAAAAAACUUAUUGUUCCUUGUAUGAUGGAUUGCAAUCUCAAUAUCGUUCUUAAUGGAACGGCCACAAUUAGUUGUUCAGGACAUAAACAAUAUGUAUUGUCUUUAUAUUUAGGAAAUUGGCUCUGUUAGCCUUAUUACAAACCCAACAAUUAAAAAUACUCCCAAAUUAUAAUCUCUAUUAGCCCUCUUUUCCUUAAAUACCACUAACUUGAAAGAUGAACUGUUAUUCUAUGUCUCGACGUUGGAUCUCGAUGGCAUCCAAAAGGGCCUCUCAACUCCCUUCCGACUGUAUCUCGACUGAAUCACGACGGCAUCUCAACGGCACAGAACUGAAUUACCCUUAUAUUUAUGAGUUGAUCAGACACUCCAAUUAAAUAAAAAUAACUAUAAUUAUGUCAAAAUUAUUUAGUCAGUCUCACGUAUAUAUAAUUAAUUCAUCAAACACAUAAACAAAAAAGUUCUUGUAUGUAUGCUAUACUUUGAUUUGUCUCAACAAGAAAUGACUCAGUCAUCUUUUUAUCUAUGUCCAUUGAGUUUAUGGAGGGCAACAUAUUGAGAUCUCAAAAAUCUUAUUCUCAUACAACACACUUUUUUUUUUGAACAAACGAUAUUAUCUACACUAAGGGAAAAUGGGUGGCCUAAACCUCACAAUGGGCUAGCAAUAAUGUGGUUCAAAUUCACAUUUGGCGAGAAUCAAACCUAAGACCUCUCACUGACAAGUGAAGAAGAAUAUCACUAGACCGUAGUCCUAAAAAAAAUAUAGAUCUUAUAGUCUUGCAGUGUUUUAGAUUAGCUAAAACGUUGGUAUCCAUAUUAACUUACCAAAAAAAAUAUGUUGAAUUUGCUACACCUGGAAUUUGUAGCAGAUUUGUCAUUUUAUAAAGGGGUUUUUAACUCAUUUAAAAAAAAAGAAGGGGUUUUUAACUUUAAUUCUUAAAAAAAAUUGAAAUUUAAUAAAAAUCGGAUGUUAGAUUACAUAUUAAUUAUUGUCCUUUAAUGUGUUAUUAACUCAAAUUAAUUAAUGUGUAUUUUAUUCAAUAUCUCACAUUAAAUAUUUGAAUUUAUGAAAAUGAAAAUUAUAAUAAAAUAUAAUUAAUAUAUCAAAAUUAGAAAGAAAAAGAGAAAUAAUUAAAACAUCAAAAUAUAAUUAAUAAAUGAAGUAAUUAACAUAUCAAGAGACUAAAAUUAGAUUUUAAUUUUACUCAUGUUUUUAAUUUAAAGUUAUUUUUAUCAAAAAUUAAAAUGAAGUUUCCUAUUUUGUAAAUUACAACGAUGAAAAAUGACGCGUUGCACGUAAGAAACAACAUCUAUAUUUUCUCUUUUGUUUAAUAUGCCAUCAAACAUAUCCAUCACAUUUUAAAUUUUGUGGAAGUCCCUCUCUCACAUUGAUAAAGUCUGGUUUGUGUUGGACAGCUGUCCAACAGACAACCCAAAAAUCUUCCAAAAACCAACAAACAUUUCUGACCAGUCAUGCAUACGUAUGCAUGGACCCAAUGGCAUAUAAUCAAAAAUUUUAAAUAAUGGGAUCGUAAUGUCAACUUAAAAAAAAGUUUCAUUAAGCUAUUUCAUCGAACAUUUAGUAAGCAAUUGUCAAUUCUUGUCAACAAUGCCAAAAGUUUAUGUUAAAAUAUAUCAACUACGAUAAUUUGUAGAGGCUUGUCGAGAGUGAUGUAGGAUACUACGAAGUAAUAUUGAGAACUCUUAAAGCUUUUCAACUAAAGUAUUUUAUAUAAAAAGAGAGAAAAGAAAAACAAAUAUGAUAGAAGAAAAUAGAAGAAGUAAGAAGAUGAGGUUGUAAGUUAGUUUGCUUUAGCUAUUUAUAAUGGUCAAAUAAAAUAUACAAACAAAUAUACAUGAGAUUUUUAAAGUUGUUGAGAUCAAGGAUAAUCAAUGAUCCCAUUCUAGUUUUGCCAUUGCAUGGGCCGGAUAGGGAUAUGGCUAAAAUAUAAUUCUAUUAAUUGCGUUUUGGGACUUUGUCUAACAACUUGGCUCUCUCUUGACUUGGAUGCCAUGGAUGGCUCAUGCAGUUUACUAAAACUAGUAAUGUACAAUUUUCAGAGACUAUUAAUUAUCAUCUAUCAGGAAAAUUUGAUUUCCAUGCUUGCCCUUUCACGUCGGUGACUUGGAGAUAAUAUUGUUUCUUGUCCGGAGAUGAAAUAAAAUAAAAAGACUUGCACGAUCAUACUGCAUUAUAUAUAUUACACUAUAUAGUCUAUGUUGGGAGUUAUAUAUUAGUUAAAGUAUAAAUAGUAGUCUGUUAUCCUAUAUUGAUGAAGUGCAUAUGUAAUACAAAUUGUAAUUCCUAUAUAUACUCCAUUUUGGAGAUUAAUGAAUAUAUGAGAAAUUCUCAAAUAUUAUCAUAUAUAUUUUUGGUAUUUACCAUGUUUAGUUUAAUAUAGCAUCAAAGCAGUUCGCUCUUGGUGACCUGUGUGCUUUAAUUUUGUGCCCCACAUUUGUCAUGAUUUCCUUCGUCUUGAAAAAAAAAAAGGAAAGUAAAUAGUGUUGCACUACAGUACAAACAGUGCGUAAACAGUGGUAUGCUACAGUGUUCAUGAACAAUAUUUUGCUACAGUGCCAUUAACAGUGAUCUACUACAUCACUUGAACAGUGAUGUGCUACAGUAUUAUGGUAAAUUGUUUUCAUUCCGCUGCCUAUCUUUUGUGCCUUUAUUGUUUGUGAUUUAAUUCAAUGGCUCAGUAUAAUCAUAAUGUUGUUAUGCAUCUUGGUGGAACAAAUAAAUGGAUAAUUGAUACUGGGACCACUAAUCAUGUGACUAGUGACCCUAGAAUGUUUGAUGAGUUAUGUGACUAUAUUCUUGAUCCGUAUAUUACUAGUGCAAAUGGAGCACAUUCCCCCGUGAAUGUUGAAGGCAUUAUCUCUCUUACUUCGACCUUAUCACUGGUCCAUACUUUACUUGUUCCUGAUGUUAAGUGCAAUCUUUUGUCGGUAGAAAAACUACUUGAUACUUUAUAUUGUUUUGCUCACUUCUACCCUACGUAUUGUUAUUUUCAAGACAUUCAAACUCAGAAAGUAAUUGGUCAUGGUAAAAGAAUAGAGGGUUGUACAUCUUGACUAUGGAGGAUACUGUUGUUUCCGGUUCAAAUAAUCAUCAAGUUUUAAGUGCUAAAGUGGAUGACAUACAUCAAAUUUGGUUGUGGCAUUGGCGAUUAGGACGUCUAUCAUUCAGUUAUAUGAAGCAUCUAUUUCCUGCUUUGUUUCGCAUUUGUAGUGAUUCAUAAUUCAAGUGUGAAGCAUGUGUCAUGGCUAAGAGUCAUCGUGCUUCCUUUCCCAUAAGUGAUUCUAAAGCUACUUUGCCAUUUGAUUUAAUACAUUCUGAUGUGUGAGGUCCGGCAAAUGUUACUUCUAAUGAAUUUCGUUGGUUUGUUACUUUUAUUGAUGAUUGUACUCGAUUAACUUAGGUGUUAUUGAUGAAGAAUAAGAGUGAUGUUCAUUUGCUUCUUCAAGAAUUUUGUGCAAUGGUGUAUACUCAGUUUCAGACCAAAGUUAAGGUUUUCAGGUUUGAUAAUAGAGGAGAAUAUGUGAAUCACACUUUGACAUGCUUUUUUCGUGAUCAGGGUAUUAUUCACCAGACGACUACUUUGUUUACACCCCAACAAAAUGGUGUGUCAGAACAGAAGAAUCGUCAAAUAAUGGAGGUUGCUCACUCAUUGAUGUUGGAUAAAUGUGUUCCUAAUCAUUUAUGGGGUCAUGUUGUUUUGGCUGUUGUAUAUUUGAUAAAUCGUGUUCUAAGUAGGGUUCUUGAUUUUCAGACACCACUUGAUGUGUUACAAAAGCAUGUUUAUCUUGUUUCUGUAUCAAAACUUCCUCCGAAGGUGUUUGGGUGUAUUGCGUAUGUGUAUGUCUACUCUUAUCAGCGGAGUAAACUUGAUGCAUGUGUUCUUCGAUGUGUAUUUAGUAGGUAUGCUAACAAUCAGAAAGGCUAUAAGUGUUAUCAUCCUCCGACUCAUAAAACUUAUAUUACCAUGGAUGUCACUUUCCACGAGGAAGUUUCGUAUUUUGUGAAGCCAUCUUCCGACUCUCCACUUCAGGGGAAAAAAGGGAGUGAAGUGCAUAUUUGAAGAGAUGGUAUGGAUGAUGUGUUACAGGCAGAGUUGGGGAUAGAACCUAUUAUGUUGCGUGAUACUGAUCAGUCGGUUAUAGAUAGUGAUCUGUCACCUAUUAUUCCUAAAACUAUUUUUACUGACGACAGAUUAGAUGUGCCCAACGAGUUGCUUGUCAGUAUGUCUGACGAAUUACUUUCUGAUGACCGAUUGCUUGCUUCUGGUAUGUCUAACGAGCUGCCUGAUGAUGGUUAGUUCAGUGAUGGUUCAUCCAGUGAUGAUUCUUUUAACAAUUUGGUACAAGAUAAUGACAUACAUGAGUUAAAUUCUGACGAUUCUUCUAUUUAUUAGUUGCCUCCACGAGCUAAUCGUGGAAAACCUAAGGUACAAUAUGAGCCUGAUAUGCAUGCCAAAUCCAAAUAUCCUAUCAACAAUUAUGUGUUUACUCAUCGUUUGUCCAAACCAUUUUCAUCUUACAUAUGUCAGCUAUCUAGUGUAUCAAUUCCAACAAAAUUGCACGAUGCCUUGUCUGACCCUAAGUGGGUUAAUGCCAUGAGAGUUGAGAUGGAAGCCUUGGAAAAGAAUUCUACUUGGGAUUUGGUUCAUUUACCAAAUGGGAAGAAAGCUGUUGGAUGUAGAUAGGUGUUCACUAUUAAGCACAAAGCAGAUGGUUCUAUUGACCGGUAUAAAGCCAUAUUAGUUGCUAAGGAUUAUACUCAAACCUAUAGGGUGGACUAUCAGGAGAUUUUUGUUCUUGUUGCCAAACUUAAUACUGUGUGUGUUCUUCUGUCCUUAGUAGCAAACCAGGAUUGGCCUCUGUUGCAGUUUGAUGUUAAGAAUGAUUUCCUUCAUGGUGAUCUCAAGGAGGAAAUUUAUAUGGAUCUCCCACUUAGUAUUAGAACAUCUCCUGAAAAAUGUGUUGUAUGCAAGUUGCAAAAAGCUUUGUAUAGUUUGAAACAAUCUCUUAGAGUGUGGUUUUGGAGGUUUACAAGUUCAAUGAAGAAGUUUGGGUAUGUCCAGAGUCAUUCAAAUCAUACUUUGUUUCUAAAUUGUUUCUAAAGCCACAAAAUGGUAAGCUAACUGCAUUGAUUAUUUAUGUUGAUGACAUGUUAGUGACUAGUGAUGAUCAAAAGGAGAUACAACGCCUUAAAAAAGUACCUAGCUAGUGAAUUUGAGAUGAAAGAAUUGGGUGAAUUGAAGUAUUUUCUUGGAAUCGAGGUUGCACAAUCCAAGCAUGGUAUUUUUCUGUCUCAACAGAAGUAUGUUCUUGAUUUGUUAGUUGAAACAAAUCUGUUAGAUUGCAAACUUAUUGAUACUCUGAUUGAGCAAAAUCAUCAUCUGGGCUUAUUUCCGAAUCAAGUUCCUACUCAUAAGGAACGGUAUCAGAGGCUUGUGGGGAAAUUAAUUUAUUUGUCUCACACUUGCCCUGACAUUGCUUAUGCAGUUAGUGUAGUAAGUCAGUUUAUGCACUCACCUAGUGAAGCUCAUAUGGAUGAAAUAGUCCGUAUUUUGAGGUGCUUGAAGAUGGCUCCUGGCAGAGGCUUGGUUUUCUCCAAGAAUGGUCAUUUGAAUGUCGAAGGGUAUACAGAUGCAGAUUGGACAAGUUCUAUCACUGAUUGGCGGGUGGUAAUCUAGUUACUUGGAGAAGUAGAAACAAAAAAUGGUGGCUAGGUCAAGUGCUGAAGCUGAGUUUCGUGGUAUGUCUCAUGGUGUAUGUGAGUUGUUGUGGUUAAAAAAAUUGUUGAGAGAUCUUGGAUUUAAACCCAAUGGUGCUAUGAAACUCCAUUGUGAUAACAAGGCUGCUAUUGAGAUUGCUCAUAAUCCAGUGCAACAUAAUCAAACAAAACAUGUGGAGAUUGAUCAACAUUUCAUCAAGGAAAAUUUGGAUGCUGGAAUUAUUAUGUUUCCGUUUGUGAGAUCUGAAGAUCAACUCGCUGAUGUACUUACUAAGACUGUGUCUAAUAGUGUGUUUUCCAACUCGCUUGACAAGUUGGGCAUGCAUGACAUCUUUGCUCCAACUUGAGGGGGAAUUUUACGAGUUAUAUAUAGUUAAAGUGUAAAUAGUAGUCUGUUGUCCUACAUUGAUGAAGUACAUAUGUAAUACUAAUUGUAACUCCUAUAUAUACUCCACUUUGGAGAUUAAUAAAUAUAUAAGAAAUUCCCAAAUAUUGUCAUAUAAAUUUUUGGUAUUUAUCAUGUUUAGUUUAAUAGUCUAAACAUCAGGAAAUACACCAACCCUAAACCUAAUGGAUUUUAUGAAGCCGCUGGUUUGGGUACACAUUAAUCUAACCUAAUUGCUCUACCACAUUCUAAACACAAAAUUUGUUAUAAAUAGGAUGAUUAAAUUUAUUUUCUCAAGCGGUAGAGUAGUGAACCUCACAGCGACGACAAUCUUCCACCCCCAAAUUCGGGUUUUUUUGUACUAAAAUGGUCUUUUAUGUAUAAGAACUUUACGAUAAGUUUAUUAAAAUUGGCUCUGUAUCUACGAAAUCUCAACAUCCAUACGUUACAAAAUGGAUUAGAACUCCUAGGAAAUAAAAUAGAACAUAUGAUGAUCCCUUUAAAGGGCCUUAUAAUGGGGAAGACUUCUCACAGAAUAUAAGAAGACGAAGAGGAAAACUAAAAACUUAGAACUUCAAGGAGAUGGACUGGAGCAGGGAGAAUGGCAAAGAACCGGAACCCAGAAGACCCGCAACGAAAAAGAAAACACUGUACUUUUUUUAGACAUUUUUUCACAUUUCUUCUCGGCCUUACAGCCAAGUAGCAUUUUCCGACCCCAAAUAAAGAUAGAAGGAAAAAACCAAAUUAAGGUAAAUAAAUUUUCUAUAGCAACUUGGCAAACAAAAACAUACUAGAAGAAAACAAGGAAAAUACAAAGAAAUUAAGGAAGUAUGGGAAACAAAAUAAAUUUAAUACGGGACCAACGACAACGGUGCAAAUGUAUAUUGUUCAGGAAAUAAACUUUUAGCGAAAAUGUGCUGCAAAAUUGACCAAUUUUGCUUCAUAUUCACACUCAAUUUUUUUAAGAAUUAAUAUCUGUAGAGUUUAGACCAAAAAUAAAAUAAAAAACAAAACCAAAAUGCUACUCCACUUUCUUGGUACUUAACUCAGCUCUCCACCUCCUUCCAAUCUUACAAGCUUCUAGAUUUAGAUUUGUCUCAAAUCACAUGCCAACUAACCUGCCCAGCUCAAUUUUAUUUUUUCUUUGGAAAUUCCAGUGCGUCUCUACUUUUGUUUUUCUAAAUCUUACUUACUCCCAUUAUAAUUGGAAUUUUAUAUAUUUAUAUGGAUGCUUUGUCAAGAUAUGAGAGAAAUAGUAGUGAUUCAAAAAGAUGAUUAGGAGCCAAAAAUAUUUAUUAUUUUAGAUUGGUGUUUAUGUUUUUGAACAGUUAAAAACUUUUUUGGUCAUUGUGUUUAUGUUUAAAAUUUAUUUUGGUCACUGUAUUUUAUUUUCUGCUAAUUUAGUUACUGUGUUAUCACAAGUUAGCAAUCUUAGUCCUUCUCAAUCAAACGUUAAAAAAAACGCACAUGACAUGCAAGUGCAGGGGUAACUAUGUAAGUGAAAAUAUAUCUUUGCCCCUGCACGAAACUGUCACGUGCAUUUUUUUGGCGGUUGACUUAUGGUAACGCAGUGACCAAUUUGGCAGAAAAUAAAACACAAUGACCAAAAUAAAUUUUAGAAAUACACACAGCGACCAAAAACGUUUUAAUUUAACCCAUUUUUAACAGUCCAGCCAGCUACCAUGAAAGCUACAACAUGAAAGCUGACUGUCAAAAUUUUGUUUAAAAAUUCAUACACAAUAAUCGUCAUAAGAACGUGCAAUAGGUACUUUGAAUUCUUAAAUAUACUGCAUGGUUACCCUUUCCUUUUGUUUUAUACAGAGAAAUCUUGACAGGCAGUCAAAAGCAAAAUUAUGUUCUUCUAGUGAUAUCUGUGUGCUAAAAAGGAAGUACGUAGCUACGUUCAGUCUUCACCUAACACUCCUAUUUGCACCUAAAAGAUGUGGAUAACAAAGAUUUUGACCAAAAUCACAUUGACAAGUACUUGCCAAAGGAUCACGGAACCUAUGAUUGUAAAAGAUAUACGUGUUGGGCCUGACCGACGUUAAUUAGUUGUUCAUAUUGAUUUGAGAAAUUUGAUUGAAUGAGGAUUAACAAAUCACAAUUGCUAAAAUAUUAAAAUGUAUUAACUGCGACAUAUUGGUUAAAUAAUUAUUGCACAUCGAAAAAAUAUUGACGAGUAAUUAUGAAUUUUUAUUUUCAUUAUUUCAAACAUUUUUAUAUUAGAAAAGCUAAAGAAAAUGAUUUAAAAACUUUGAAUUUUAAUGAUACGUACAAAAUGAAAGGUAAAAUAAAUAGUACCAGAAUUAACUUUUUGUUUAAAUUUUAUUUUCUAUUUGGCAUCAACUUUUGGUUUAAAUAUACUAUAUAACCCUCACAAAAGAAAAAGCAUGGUGUACUAGUAGCUAAAAGACAUAAAAAAGGUUAAUCUUAAUUUAUUAUUCUAAAGUUUCUUAGUUUUCAAUAUUUGGUAUAUAAAGUUUUUUUUAUUCUAGAGUUGUACAUAAAGUUAUAAUUUUGGGAUACUUUCAUACAUCCAUUAAGGUUGCUGUUAAAUUUAUCAUUAACUGAUGAUAUGACAUUUAUGUUGACAAUGACACGUAGAUAUUAAAAAUUAAAAAUUAAAUUAAUAAAAUAAUAAAAAUUAAAAAAAAAAAAAAAUUGGGCGUCUUCACCCUCACCCCUUCUGACCCCCCUCCCUUCUCUCCUCUGCACCCACGCUUCCCCCUCCCUCUUCGACUCCACCCAACGCUGCACUCCGAGGAUUGUUGCCAUCCUUUCAAGCCCAAUUUCGCCCCCAAAUAGGCCCGGGCAGUACUUGGCCAUAAACUUCAAGUCGUAGACCCUCUCGAACAAACGACCUGCCAUCUUUGCGAACUCAGUGGGGGAGCUGAGGAUGGUCUUCCUCGUCACCAGCUUCAUUACAUAGGCCGAGUCGUAGAGGCCGUGGAAGCUCACCCAUACGAGCUGCCCCCUGUGCACCCUUAAAAUCUCAACGAAACCCUCCACAAAAAUAUCCGAAUCAAUGCCGAACUUCCCAAAUUUCUCGAGAUCCAAGCCAUUCGCUUUGAGGAGGGCAAUGGAUUCUGGAACAUGGGGGUCGGUUUCCUCGUCAAAACCCCGAAAGUUGAACUCCCAGGUGCCGCCGACGUUGCCGCGGUCGUCGAACAGGGUGAUACCCACUUGGAUGAGAUUGAGAGAAUCGACAUUAAGGGCGAUAUCUUGGUAACGGAGGCCCUUGGAAGUGCCUCUGGGGGUGUUGCGGAGGAACCCCGGAAAUUCGGUGUCGAACGAGACGAUCGGAAAACGGCAGAGACACCGAUCGACGGAGGGAAGGGGAAAGGUGGGUGCAAAGGAGAGAACGGGAGUGGGGUCGGAAGGGGUGAGGAAGAAGAUGCCCAAAUUUUUUUAUUUAUUUAAUUUUUUUAGUUUUUAUUAUUUUAUUUUUUAAUAUGCACGUGUCAUCAUGUCAUUGUCCACGUGGAUAACACAUCAUUAGUUAACAGUAAAUUUAAAGGCAACCUUAAUGAAUGUAUAAAAUUGUUCCAAAAUUAUAACUUUAUGUACCACUCUGAGAUGAAAAAAACUUUAUUUACCAAAUAUUGAAAACAAAAAAACUUUAAGAUAAUAAACUAAUAUUAAUCCUAAAAAACUACUAAAGGAAAGGGUGAAAGAAAAAAUUAUUAGUUUGUGCUGUUCUCAUGGUAAUAGUGGUUUUUGUAUUGUACGAUCAUGUGUUACAUUUUAUGCAUUAUUAUGUGGAUGAAUGAAUAAGUUAAUUACAUCGCAUGUCAUAGGGUGAAUAUUACAUUAAAAAAUUCUUCAUUCUUGUUAUUCGUCAAAUUAAUGGUUGUGCAUUUGUAUGAGGACCUAGAUCUGUUGAGGAUGCAGAUCUUCACUCGUUGAAGGCCAUCCCUAUCUAUCUACUACUACUCUUUGGAAAAUAAUUGACUACAGAUGAUUGUACAAAAAAAUAAUUAAUAUUAUCUGAACAGCUCACCAUGCAUGUUCAGUAAAGUAAAGCGGAUUUGUUUAUUCAUUGUCUAGUUCAAACUUGGGGAGCAUUUUCUCAUUCUUGCGGUGAUCAGAAUAAUGUGAUUUAAGUCCAGUUAAACAUGCUUAAUUAUGCAUUUAAGCAUCUUUUAUUUAUUUGCUUUCAUUAUUUUUUCCUUCUUAAUGUGUUGUUAUUGUUUGGAACAACAAGUAAGACAAAUCUAGCCAGUUAGCAUUCACCGCAUCACCGCAUAAUGAAAGAUUAUUCAUAUUUGGAAAUGAAUAAUUAAUUAAAAAACUGUAUUAUUAAGGCAAAUGGGCACUUAAUAUUUGUAUCUUAAACCUUCCGAGUCGGAUAUUCGAGUAAAUUAGUUAAAAAGCUAUGCAAAAUGUGAAUGUGACAGACUACGUAGUAAAGUUUGGGUUAAGAGAGAGAGAGAGAGAGAGAGAGAGUAUUUCGCAGCCGGCUGGUCCCUAUGUACGGGAAGAAUCAUAGAAAGUUAGGUAACUACACACAUUUUUCAAAGAUGUCGAUCAUGAAAAAUAUUUGAUAACAAAUUCAGGGAGGACAUACUGCUUAAAUUAUUAACCUAGAAAUAAAGUUCGAUCUCUUGCUUUAACUUUUCUGCUACGUAGCUCUUAUUGCAUUAAACAAAGCCUUAUUAAAGUAAAGAUGGUCACACCCUUAGCCCUUUAGGUGAUACGUUCAGGGAAAUGGUUAAUGUUUUUACAAGCUCUUGUUUAUUUUUAUUUUUUAAUAUUUUCAGAUAUUUUUACAAUCUUUUACUGCGCAGUAAUAGAGUGUAAAAAUCAUAUCUAUGUAUUUAUUUAUUAUUAACUAUGUUUACAAUGAACCUUCUAUUCCAUGAAACAAGAUAUAAAAAUAAAAAUAAAAAGGAGAAGGGCAUAAAUUAACAAAAUUCGGUCAAAGGCCGCAUUGGUCCAAACAUUAAUUGAUAAUCUAUGACAAAUAGUCUGGCCCCAUUAGCAUUAUUUUAACAGUAAUAUUGUUUUUUUACUAAGAUAAUUAAUAAUUGCCAAGUGAAAAUUUGGCAUGAGUACCAUUGUGAAGGGUAAAAACCAAAGCUAUAUAAAGGGUGAGGAGGCUUAGCUUCAGAGGCAGACAACCAAAAACCCAUUCUUAACGAAGGAUGGGAAAAAUGGUGCCUUCACAAGUGACCUCUCUUGUGGUCACUCUCCUAGUGGCAAUAGUCUCUCUCACAUUGCCUUCAGAAACUUCAGCUAACUACCCUUACACCUCUCCACCACCACCGGCCUCUCCUCCCUACCAUUACAAGUCACCACCGCCUCCUUCUCCUUCUCCUCCAGUGCACUACUCACCACCUAAGCAUCCCUACCACCCUAAGUCACCACCACCUCCUGUGUACGCACCACCUAAGCAUCCCUACCACCCUAAGUCACCACCACCUCCUGUGUACCCACCACCUAAGCAUCCCUACCACCCCAAGUCACCACCACCAUCACCAAAGCCUUACCACUACAAAUCCCCACCACCACCUCCUGCUCCAGUGCACUCACCACCCCCACCUAAGGAGCCAUACCACUACAAGUCCCCACCACCACCACCCAAGAAGCCCUACCACUACAAAUCUCCCCCACCACCUCCUCCUCCAGUUCACUCACCACCACCACCCAAGGAGCCUUACCACUACAAAUCUCCACCACCACCACCCAAGAAACCUUACUAUUACAAGUCUCCUCCACCACCACCAAAGAAGCCUUACCACUACAUGUCUCCUCCCCCACCGGUGUACUCACCACCUCCACCAGUGCACUCACACCCACCACCAAAAAAGCCUUACCAUUACAAAUCUCCUCCCCCGCCAGAAUAUUCACCAGCUCCACCAGUGCACUCAACCCCACCACCAAAGAAGCCCUACCAUUACAAAUCCCCACCACCACCACCACCACACAAGAAGCCUUAUUACCCUGUUCACUCACCACCUCCACCUAAGAAGCCUUACCACUACAAAUCCCCACCACCACCUUCUCCUACUCCUCCUAAAUACUCACCACCUAAGCACCCCUACCACUACAAGUCUCCACCACCACCACCAAAGAAGCCUUACCAUUACAAGUCCCCACCACCUCCUUCUCCUACUCCCCCUAAAUACUCACCACCUAAGCACCCCUACCACUACAAGUCACCACCACCACCACCCCAAGAAGCCUUACCACUACAAGUCUCCACCACCACCACCUCCUCCAGUUCCCACACCAUCUCCACCCAAGAAACCUUACCACUACAAGUCUCCCCCACCACCCCCUCCAGUCUACAAGUCUCCUCCACCACCAGUUUACUCACCACCACCACCACCUAAGAAACCUUACAAGCCACCAACUCCUCCAGCAGUUCACCCACCACACGGUUACAUCUAUUCCUCACCCCCACCUCCUCACCACUACUAGAUAUUGAAAGUUUAAUUGCAUCAAGCUGGUAAGCUUCUCCAUUCUAUGCUAUUAUUCAUUAAUUAGUUAGUACUACUGUUGUCAAUUUGGAAAUCACCAUAC